rnacentral:lncRNA from 1 species
GGUGCAUAGCGUCUCCAGCCACCGUGACAUUUGAUCGAACUAGGUUGCCGAACAGGAUGUCCCAAGGAUAUCGGAACAUCAGUGGCGCCCAUGUCAAACUUGAAAGGUCAGAGUGCUUGACGACAUCGAGGUACACGGGUGGGAAGUCCUUCGCCAAAUUUUCCAUCACCUCCCUUUGUAUAAUUUCUGGAUCUGCUCCUUUUUCCACACCUUUAUAAAUGGAAGCGUUAGGGAUCGGGGAGGAUUAGUAAGCUAGUAUUGAAGGAGCCAUCGUGGUUGGGAAUCUCAGCAGAAGAUAAAAUGUAAUAUACAUGGUACCUUUAGGAGGACACGUGGCCACAAAGAACCAAUACAAUUCCUUAUCAUUGAGAGCAAUAAAACCUGCCCUCUUGCCCACAUCCACAAAUUGUUGAAGCGCAUGGCCAUGAUCAAAACCAUGACCUUUCGGGAACACAGACAACCCGCGCACUGCCACCGGCCUGAAUUGACUGGCGGGCGAAGUCCAAGCCAACGGGCCACGAUAGAGUGCACGCCAUCACAUCCUAUAACAACCUACAUGUAUAAUAUUUUCAGUGUGGAUAAGUUAAAGUGGAUAAGUUACCUCAUCAUAUUUGAAUUCAAAAGAAGGUUCUCUAGAAAUUGUAGGGAACCUUAGACUUUAUGAUGGUCCCAUCAUCGAGCAUGACAAUACAAAUGGACAAGCCGUGUUCUACUUGGGUUUCGAUGGAAGUUAUCUUGGAAGAGAAUCGAAUGCUAUUUGGAGGAAGCUCCUCCGCCAGAACUUCCAACAAGACUUUUCGAUGGACUGCUCUUGGUUGGGCUCCAUUCCUGCUCAAUCCAGAUGGAAUGAUUUUCUAUCCUUGGAAUACGAAAUGACAUGCAUAAAAUAAUAACAUUUGUUGUGGGAGAAAAAAAACAGUCGAAGUAUAAGAUAAACAGGACAAGAAAAUAAAUUGAAUAUUGAAUUUAUUUGACUCAAUCAGUAAGAUCUACUCCACACGAAAAAUGGCACAAGACCCACUAACGAAAAUUAUAAUUACAAUUAAAUUAUUUAAAUACUCCCAUUAUUCUCUCAAUGGGGGUUGCUCUUCACGAAAAAGACUCCUUAUAUAGAAAAGAAUUAGAUCCAAAAUACGAAAUUACCUAGUUGGAUUGAGUUCUCUUUAUGAGUCUCAAAUUCUAGACAUAUUUUCAACAACAUAAUAGAAUAAAUUACCCAAUUCUAUCUAACAAAAGGAGUAUUAUAUUUUCAAACUCUAUUAUUGAAGAUCUUCCUAAAAGAUGAGUUGUCAAAAUAGGGGCUAUUAGUCCCAUUCAUGGUAUAUUUCCGACGGUCAUUUGUAUCAUUUUGUGCAAAAUAAAACAUAUAGUAACCAAUUACAAGAAAUUAAUCAGUCUGAAACAUUAAACGGUAAAUUAAGGAAACAAAGAUGAUGGAAAGGUAGGUAGCAUAUAUGAGAGGAAAUUUGAGAUUCACCUGUUGCCUGGAUAAUGCACUUCUUGAAUCGAUUUAGUCUUGACAUCAGUUAUGUAUCCCCUGAACAAGUACCAAAAAAAAAUAAAAAUUAAUAAGUAAAAUUAUUUUCUUUCAUCAUUGAGAAAUUGUAGGACAGAUCAAGGUCCAGCAUCCUGGAUCAAUAACCGAUUUAAGAAGCUCCCAAAACGGGCGAAUCCUAAAAUCAAUUUAACAAAGUACAAAACCAAUGUAGAGCUUAUCUUUCUAUUCAGUAUAUCUUGCUUGAAAAGCCUAUUGCUCUUUCUCACUGAUAUUGCAGUUUUUCCCUUCAUUUGAUGAAUAUCUAAUUAGUUAUUUUAUUCUAAGCACUAAUCGCAUUAGCAACCUCAAUAGGCAAAUUUCACGGUGCACUUUACAAUUGGCAAUGAUCUCAAUUUUCAUGAUUUUUUCCCCAUGGAAGAUGUAAAACCACUUUUUGACCAAUUUUUUUAAUACCUAACGAACAUCGUUUGCAAAUAACCCAAAAAAAAAAAAAAUCAUUGCAUUAAAUGAUCGAAAUGAAAGUUCAUGAACUUAAUUGCAUCAUAUGAAGAUCUACUCACUGCGAUUGAAAUGCGUUUGGAUUUUUUUAACUACUUUUCACUAUAAAAGUGAUUUACUUUUAGUUGGUUUUAUCCCCAACGAGCUAGCACAAGAUUAGGCGUAUUUAACAUCUUCUAAAAGAUGCUUACACUAAUUCAGCAUUCAUCAACUCUGAGUGCUGUCAUCUUUCAUAGCAGAGAAAUCACUCAUUUAACUCUCGAUCUGUACAUGAUUGUUGAACUAAAGAUUAGAUCGAGUUUUAAUACUUCGAAAUGAUAAAACAUUCUACAAUAAUCAGACGUCUAUUUUCAAGUGCAAAGAGCGAACAAGGACCUCACCUUUUCAGAGGAGCGUACAGGGCAGCGAGCUUGUCCGAAACGCCGAGUGCAUCGAGCGCAACCCACGCAUUAGCAAAGAGACCGAGAGCCGCACCGGUCGUUCGGAGCUCCUCCGAUCUCUCAAGGACGAGGGCUCGGACACCGACCUUCUUAAGGGCCACUGCCGUCGCCAGACCUGCGAUGCCGGCACCGACUAUCACCACCUCCUCCAUGGUCGUGUUCUACUUCGAGCUUGUUGAGUGUGCGCACGUGUGCUUUUGGGAUAAGUAGUCUCUUAUCUUGCGGUCCCUAUUUAUGGAGUGGCAAACUUGUCGUCUUUUGAUAGCCACGUCCCUGCUUACGAAUGCUACAGAAGCAUUGAAUGAAAAUUACAGCCACAGAAUGGGGGGCAAUGAUUGAAUGAAACGUGAGCCAUUUCCAGAAAAUUUCGGCUUUUAUUUCAAAAGGAGUGAAAUUAAAAUUUCCAACCUGAAUAUAGACUUUUCAAAUUCAUUUGUUUUUCCAGAUUCUCUUCGGUUCUUUUCUUUACUUUAUUAAGCUUUCGCUAUUGUAAGGUGGAUUUGAACUUGCUUUGUUGGGUUUAGCCUUGUGACAUCCAUAAGUUUAAAACGUGUACCUUUUUAAGCUGUAAAUUGUCUGAUUGACAGUAAGAUUUUUCAUAUUUGCCAAUUUUGAGCUUGGUCUUUAUUAAGGAGUCUUACGUGAGGGGGCUGGCUUUCAUUUAACAAAUUUUUAGUGACAUUUUGGAUACUUCAGUUGCAGCAACUUUUUUUGGGUGAAAAUUCCAGCAGCAACGUCAGUGUUUGCGUCAAAUGCCCAGAUUGACCAAAUGUCCUCUCUUGACCACUCUUUACGAUCGACUAGUCGUCCUCUAUCAUAUCCACUAGAUUUUCACGAUAUUACGAAACCUCCUAACAUAACACAUAUCCGCUAGUCAACUCAAUUAAUCAUAAUUCUCAAGUGGGCAUCAAUAUAGCCUUUUAAAACAAUAGGAUAUUUGUCUUCUUACAUAACAUAGUCUUUACUUUUUUUUUAGAUAAUCUAACACUUUCAACAGAGCAGUCCAAUGCUGGUAACCAGGAUUACCUAUAUAUUUACUCAAUAUUCCUAUUGAGUAUGCUAAAUUUAGUCUAGUGCAAUUCGUGAUAUACAGAAUAUUGUCGAUUACUUGAAAAUACUCUAGUUGCCUAAUAUUGUUUUUAGUAUUCUUUCUAAAAGUUAUGUGUGGAAUAUAAGGAUUAUCUGCAUAUUUGAUUAGAACCUUUUAACCUCUCAAUUCAUUUUCAAUGUAAUGAGAUUGUGUUAAACCUAGACCAUCGUGAUUCCAACACUUUUUUCAUAUCGAACCACAGUAUUGGACUUUUCGUUGAUGCAAAAAAAAUUAGGCAUGGUCAAAAUAUAGUCAAAUCUAGAUUAAAAAAAAAACACAAAAUCAAUCUUAAAUUUUUUUACCAAUUAGAUGGUUUUCAUCACCUGUACAGCAACAACACACAAGAUGUACAAAUAGUAGAGAGCUAUAGAGAAAGACAAACUGAAAUUGUAAAAAGAUCGUAAGCUUUUGUUCAAUAUUAUUGUCUUGCCACACUUAUGCAGACCACCAUCUUUAUUUAUCGUCAAUGGAUUUUAGAUUGAUAGUGAAGUUUCAAGAAAGAUGGAUAUGAAGCUAUGUCAACCCUCUUUAAAUACAGAUAGAUCAAUGAGCAAGGUAAUAUUUUUCAAUUUUGGAAGAUCGUGAAGUACCAACUUUUUAAGACUUUGAAGUGUUCUUGGGUCCAUACAAGAUUUGUCGAAUACAAUGAAGAUAUCCUCAAUUUCGUAGCACUUUUCGACAUUCAAACGAGAAAGUUGGAUAGUUGCUCAGUCAAACCAUUUGAAAAUAUAUUUUUUGGCUUAGGGCAAUUGUACAAGGAUAUGACCGAUAAAAAUUUUCCCAAACUUAGGUAAAAAAAGCAAUAUUAUUAUUGUUUUGAAAUCAAAUCGCAUUUUUUAAACAAUCGGGUUAGGAGCUUUUUGUAGGGGUAAAAAUCAAGAGAUGUUGAACGGGAAAGUUAGGCCCAGCCAAAUAUGGUCAACUUUGGGUAAAAAAAUAGAUAAAUAUUAUUUUAAUUUUACCAAAUUAAAUAAUUUAACCGGCCAUCCGACCGCUCAUGAAGUUCUCGAGGACUUGGCGAUACAGCAUGUUCCUAUACAUUUUUUAAAAUCUCUGCAUGUCCCUAACAUUUUUCUUGGAUAAAGCUAAAUUUCUGAUGUCCUUUCAAUUCUCUCUCUAGCUAUUGAAAUAUCGGCAAGAGAUUCACAUUGAUUCUACAAUUUAACUUGGCAUGGAUGAUGGUCGAGGAGGUCGUCAAGCAACUGUAGGCGAACAUGGGAUCGAGCUAAAUUUCUAAUGUCCUUUCAAUUCUCUCUCUAGCAAUUGAAAUAUCAGCAAGAAAUUCACAUUGAUUCUACAAUUUAGCUCGGCAUGGACGAUGGUCGAGGAGGUCGUCAAGCAACCGUGGGCGAACAUGGGAUCGAUCUCAUGAGGCGGUACUUAUUGGCUACAAUGUCGGAAGAUACGAAGGCAGCACCAAAAUGGAUUGAGCUGUAGCAUCUCCAGAGUCCCACACUUUGUCAGAGGAAAUGACGGGGCGUGCCGACCCUGCAUCAUCUCUAUUGGCCCGUAACAGCACGGGCAAGGCAGAAGCAGAUGCUUCAAGAGCACGAGAGGAGAUAGCUCCACGCCAUGCUAGACCAAACUCAACCACACCGCCUCGAGGACCUCAUCAACACAGUGGCGCCGAAAGUGGAAAUGAUCCGGCAAUGCUACUCGGAGAGCACCCGCGGCUUCAGGACCUGAUGUUUUGAAAAUGGGGGUUCUGAUGGAUGCCUCAUCAUUCAGUUCCAAAGGGCAGGGAUUGUACGGACCGAUCCCCAUUAAGAAAUUACUGUACGGACCUUCUUUGGUCUGAGAACCAUGUCCCGUACUUUGUUCGGGAGGAUUCGUUCGAAACAACUAAUGUUCUGAAAAGAGCCUUGUCUUUGGCCCAUCUUGCCUUCUAGUUUCCUCCUAUUUUUGAGAAACUUCAUGUUGAAUGACAAGUCGGUUGUUAUAGAAAGCAGGCCCUAAAAGAAAGGUAAGGUUGGGUUCGGUUUUUCACAUUUAUCCAGCAGACAAGAGCUCAUUAUCUUAUCAGAUUUGCUUUGCUUCUAAGCUCUGUUGAGUGGGAAUUGGAUUCAAGCAGAGAGAAGCCGACCCUUCUUGGAGAUCAAAUUUCACCGUUGGAACCAUUCGAAUUCCAAAAAUAACAAUUGAUGAUCACUUCAGUUGCAAACUCACCAAUAUGGUUGCUUUUGAAGAGUGUCGUGGCCAAAUGCACAGGCACAAUAUUGCCUAUGCUGUGCUCAUGAGAUGCCCCAUUCACACGGCCAAUGAUGUACAACUUUGCUUUUGAAGAGUCGUGGCCAAAUGGCCAAGCACAAUACUGCUUAUGCUACGUUCAUGAGAUGUCCCAUUCCCACAGCCAAUGAUGCAUGACUGUAAAGCCAUCUUGCAUUACGGCUUGAGCAACGAGGAUGUUGCAUGCUUCUUCUUCAAUAAUGACAGCAGGACGCUGAUUUUGACCUCAACAGUAGCUAUCAAGCGUGGCACUUUGCAAUUUUAAACAAAUUCCUUAAAUAUGAACGGGCUUAUUGUUACUGCACACGACUCUGCUUUUCAUGAUAAUGACGGCCCAUGGUCGUGAAAGGAAUUGAGGAAGACAAGGGAACAGCAAGAAGAAUAGAUUUUAGGGGAAGAUUUUCUGUAUCUCUUUCAUUAAUUACUAAAGUGUAUAGAGCUCUGUAAUUAUAGUACUUGAUGUAUACAAACGUAGGGAAAGAAAAUAUCCCAAGAAUCAAAUCUAAUCUUUGAUUGAUAUAAUAAAUCAAUCACAUCUCGAGCAUAUCUUCUAACACUCUCCCUCAAGCUGGUGGCUUAUAGAUGUCCAAGACACCUAACUUGCUUAAUAGAUAUGUGUGUUGUCUUUGACAUAGGGGUUUGGUGAAAACAUCUGCCAAUUGUUAUGUGGUUCCAAUCCGCUUUGUCUCAAUUAUUCAUUCUUGAAUCUUGUCUCGAGUAAAAUGGCAAUCCAUUUCUAUAUGCUUCAUUCUUUCAUGCACUAUAGGAUUUGUUGCAAGUUUGAUAGCUACAUCAUCGUCACAAAAUAACUUGGUUGGUCCCUUUACUUGCACCCCAAAAUCCCAAGGCAAACCUCGUAUCCACACUAUCUCGCAAGUGGUCUUUGUCGUGGCUCGAUAUUCUGCUUCAGCUGAAGAUAAUGAGACGGUUGGUUGCUUUUUUGUUUUUCACGAAAGUAGAGAUUCCCCUAAUUUAAUGCAGAAACCUAUGAUAGACUUUCAGCGCAUGAGAUAAGUCACAUAAUCUACAUCACAAUAAGCUGUCAUUUCCAUGUUGCAUUUCCUAGAAAGAAGUGUCCCAAAUCCUAGGCAUUUCUUCAAGUACUUUAUGACCUUUGGAGCGGCAUUCAUAUGGGAUUGCUUUGGACUAUGCAUGAACUAACUGAGAGUUUGGACUACGUAACAUAAAUCAAGUCUAGUCAUGGUCAAAUAUAUAAGUUUUCCAACGAGCUUCUAAUAACUCGACAGAUCUCAAAGUAUAGGAUCAUCAUCUUGAGAUAUUCCCACAUCGUAAUCUAUCAUAGUUAACUUUGUGUUUUGCUUAAUUGGAAUAAUAGCCAGUUUGCAUCUUGAUAGACUUUCUUUAGAUACAAUCUCCAGUACAAACUUUUGUUGGCUGAGAGAAAUCCCUUGAUUGGAUUGGGUAAUUUCAAUUCCAAUGAAGUAUUUAGGUGAUCCCAGAUCUUUUAUAUGAAAAGUGGAAUGUAAAUACUCCUUAAAGCUCUUUAUGGCAGUUAUGUCAUUUCCCAUAAUAAGUAUAUCAUCAAAAUAUAUCAUCAAGAAGAUGGAUGACAUACAUUUUGUCCAUGUGAAUAAGGCAUAAUCAUAUCUAGAUUGCCUGAAACCUACAGCUACAAGAGCAUUGGCGAAUUUGGCAUACCAUUGCCUAGAGGCCUCUUUGAGGCCAUAAAGGGAUUUUCGGAAACGACAUACCCUAUUCUCCCCUUGUCUUUGUAAUCCUUGAGGAAGUUCCAUAUAAAUUUCCUCAUCCAAAUCACCAAUGAAGGAAAGCAUUAUUGACGUCCAUUUGGUGUAAUUCCCAAUCAUGAAGAGUUGCAACUGAUAAGAAUGAACAAACUAUGACAUCCUUGGCCACUAGAGAAAAUGUCUUAUGAUAGUCGAAACCUUCCCACCGUGUGAAACCUUUAGCCACCAAUCGAGCCUUGUAAUAUUCAAUAGAGCCAUCUGCUUGAUACUUGAUUUUGUACACCCACUUGCAUCCAAUUGGCUUUCGGUGAGGGCUCCCAUGUUUGAUUUUUUGCUAAGGCCUGUGAUUCUGCUUCCAUAGCUUUUUGCCAUUGUGGAUCAGUGGAUGCCUCAUCAUAAUUAGAGGGUUCUCGUUCUUCUGAUAUACAGUUGAUGCAACACCUAUGUCCUGGAGAAAGUUGAUCGAAAGAAAUAUAGGAUAAGAUUGGGUAAUUAAUACUUGGUAAGUUGAAUGUAGCACAAACAUAGUCUUUAGCCCACGUUGGUGGACGUUUGGGGUGCCCGAACCAUGGAGGAUCCUGCAAUUGGUGGAGAGGAUGAUGGUUCAUCAUUAGAAGACCUUGGUAAAGAACUGGAAGCUUCGUCAAUGGGCAUAUUAGCAAUUGCUUGUUCUCAUGUUGAAACUGGAGCAAUAUUCUCAUCUGGAAUUGGAGCGGGUGCUGAAGGCAUAGUCAAAACAUACUUUGAAUCUGCAGAUAGUGCAUCCUCAAAUAAAAAUUGACGAGAAUCCCCUCGGUUGCGUGAAUCUUAACAGCAGAUUUUCAUGAAACAGGAAGAUGUCCUCAUGGAAAGAAACAUCCCUCCUUAUGACGAAUUCACCUGUGGAAGUCUCAAAGACAUGGUAUCAUUUCUUUAAAUUUGGAUAUAUCAUAAAUAUACUACUCUGGGCGUGGGGACCCAUUUCAGCUGUCAAGGAUUUGAGUGGGCAUGCGACUGAUCAAGUAAAUAGCCGUGACCACUCAAUCUCCCUAAAAGGUUUUUGGAAUGGAGGCUUGGAAUUUUAGUGCACAUGCAACUUCCAAAAGAUGGCGAUGUUUGUGUUCCACCACCCCAUUUUGCUACGAGGUGUAGGUCCAGGAACUCUCAUGUAGGAUGCCAUGAGAUGAGAAAAGAGAGGGGCAAUGAUUGUUGAAAAAUUAUUUCCCAUUAUCAAUGUGACUGCGCUAAAUAGAUUUCCCAAAUUGGUUCUUUGAUAAGGAAAUGAAUAAUAUUAAAUGGGUGAAAGCUUGAUGUUUUGACUGCAUCAGGAUAACUUGUGGCACGGGAGUAAUCGUCCACAAUUGUCAGAAAAAAAUGAAACCCAUCACGAUGUGGUGUGUAAUAAGGUCCCCAAACAUCAACAUAAAUUAAUGAAAAAACAUCACUAGCACGAGUCUUGCUAAAUGGAAAGGGAACACAUGAUUGCUUUGCAAGUGGACAAAUAUGGCACUAAAGAUAAGAAAAUAAAGCACUAUGGCCCAUUCUAGAAUGUAUAAGAAAAUUUCUAUCAUUGGUAGUCAGGUUACACAAUGAUUGUUUAUUCAAGGAAAUGUGAUCACUAGCUUCUAAAUCCAAGCAUUUCUCGAACUAGAAUUUAUCAAGUAAUGAGAAAUACCUGAGAAAUUUCCCCCUUUGUUAGAAGUGCCCAAAUUCUAUAAUGCUUGCAUAAGCCACUGAUAUUGUCCAUACAUGAUGGGCUAAUUAGCAUUUGGACCGGUUGGCCCGGUGACCUGGUAAGCAGCUAAAAUUUCUUUUUCCAUCUUUCCCUUCUCUCCAGGUUUACCAUGCAAUUUCUAGCAAUUAUCGAUAGUGUGAUGUGGACGUUUGUAAUAUUCACAAAAUAAUUUACAUUUUCCCUUUGAGUUCUACCCAAAAUUCUUGGAUGACGUGGCAAAGAUCUAGCCGUUGGACACCUUAUUUCUGCUGCCGUAUCUACUGUCCAAUUCUGGAGAAGGAUCGGCCAACCAUAAGCAGUUUAAUCACUAGAUGCAAUCUGAGCUAUCCAUGGCUUGCCUUUUAAGGGUUCUUGUUUCAGCAAACCCUAAUGCCACACCCUUUCCUUCAUUUAGGUUUUUGUACACAACCUCUCUCCAUUCACGACGAGCCGCGAGCGUGAUCCUAUCAGCUCCUUUCGCGUACUCCAGCGAAGUAAGCCGUUGGCUUUCUUUUUGAACGGCCAACUAAUAUAUUCAUCCGAGCGGCAAUACCGGAUCCAUCACCAAGGUUUGAGAUUGGAACGUCAAGAAAAAUUCAUUCAAAAUCAAAAGGAAUCUUGUUGCCUUCUCUCUUUCUUUCAUCGCUUUGUACUACAUGUCGUAAUAGACAUGUUUCCUUGCUUCAGAUCUGAGAGUGCCUGGGUAAGCGAAAUUUUUUUUGCUUGGUCUAACUUCCCACACAUCUCAUUUAUGUUGUCCCACAUGAGUUUUGAGUCCUCCGUGGGAGGUAAGCCAGUUGCAACUUCAGGGGAAACACAAUGUCUGAUCCACGUUCUCACUAAAUGAUUACAUUUUCUCCAUUACCGUAUCAUCCUUUCAUUUGUCAAGGUCGGAAUGGUCCCAUUGAUAAAACCAUAUUUAUCCUUCAUAAUGAGAGCUCGCUGAAGAGUAAUUUUCCGAUCCUUUUAACUGAUAGGUGGUUAGUCGAAUUUCUGGUACAUUAGCGAUGGAGACAAGUAAGGGGUCGCUGGGCUCUUGGUGACCAAUCAUGGCUAAGAUCGAAUACGGCAAGAACCCAGGUGGCAGAAACGGGUAGGGAUUUCCUCCCAUACUCGGAUUCGUCGACUCAUUUUUUUGCCCCGCACUGUGAAAACCUGCAUUCAAAUCUCUCGACCCAGUCGGUCGCCCCACAUUGAAGGAUCCCGUCCCAAUGGUUGGGCUUGCCUCGUUCACGGCUAGUAAGCCACCAUUGGACUGGGCACUAUUUUCGUGGCUUUGAUUUCUUGGCCAUGAGGUGUUUGGGCUUGGCCCAUAAUACCAAGGAUUGGGCUGCAUCUGAACGGGCAACCAUUGGAAUGGUUGGCCCAUAAAAGGGUUGCCCUAGAUUCGGCUGGGCUUGAGAUGGUGGCCAAUGCAUAUGUUGGGCCCAAAUCGGCUGCUCUUGGCUUCCAACGACUCUAGUAGGUGGGUUUAAGGUAAGAUCUUGAAUGUUCGGAGCUUCUGGCAUUAUCUCUUCUAGGAUAUGUUCUUUAGGCUGCGCAUGAUAAAAUUUUUGAAAUAGAAAUUGAUUUCUGGCUAGAAAUCAAUUUCUUAAUUUCUAUUCCCCUGACAAGUUUUUGAGCAAAGAAACCCGUUUGAUAACAAUUCAAAAUUUCUAUUUCUGAAACAGAAAUCCGUUUGAUAACAGAAAAAAAAAUUCUAUUUCUAGGAAUAGAAAUUGAUUAGAUAACAACAUAGGAAAUCCUCAAAUACAAAAUAAUAGUCGAAAUAAUACUAAUACAUUACAAAAGUUGAAAAUACAAUUUCAUGGAAUUUCCGGCAUAUUAUUAUCCUUUGCCAUUUUAUUAACAAUUGUUUUCCUAAGCGUAUUUAUUUGGUUUCCCUCCUCGGUCAAUAUAUCGUUUGCAAGCUCAUCAUGCGUAGGUUCAAACAAGUACUGCGGAAACAUGAUAUAGGUGCCAUCAAUGACGCAUAUACAGCCUUGUCAUUUUAUCGAAAACUAGUAUAUAUAAGAUUAUCAACAAAAUAAAAUUAAUGGUGUAAAGGAAUAUAUGAGAAUUCUACCUUAAAAUAACGUUUAUGGUUAGGAACCAAUCGGGGGAAGGUCGGUUUAUUUUGAUUCUUGAAUUGAAUCAGUUCAGUUGCUCAUCCCUAAUUUCUUUAUUGUUGCUCAAUGAACCUUUAAUAGCCCUUGCAUAGCAAAGAGAGAGAUUCUCUUUAAUCUCUUGCCUUCGAUUUAAAAUUCAAGAUUGUGUAACAAUCUAAUUAUUUUGAUUUUGCAAGAAUUUUGAAUCCGUAAAAAAAUAACGUUAAAUUUCUAGGCACGUUUUUUAUUCAUCUAUUACGUAAGUACUUUUUCUUCAACUGGUCAUGUGCGUGCCUUUUCUAAGAGGGAAGAGCCCCAUUGUUUUUAAGUAAGCAUUUAAGAACUUUGGUCGUUUUUUGAAAAUUGGGGACCCAUUCGAUUGCCUUUCAUCCUAAAGAAGAAGUUAUAAAAAAUGGAAAAAAUACAAAAAAAAAAAAAACAUGAGCAAAAUAAGAAAAAGAAAAUUAGCAAUAAUUUGUGAAGUUGUGGUUAUGAGUGAAUUAAGUUAGCAAGAAAACGCAAUGUUCUUUUAUAUGGUUUGAUUUCAGUUUCUUAUUUCUAUUUCAGAAAUUGAGAAGUUAAAAAUUUCAGCUUCUGAUUUUUUCAAUUUCUCUAUUUCUGGAAUAGAAAUUUGUUUUAGAAAUAGAGAAAUCAAAUCGCGUUACCAAACGGAUUUCUGUUCCAAACCUGUUCCGGGGAACAGAGAAAUAGAGAAAUCGAGAAAUGGAAAUUUUGUCAUGCGCGCCCUUAGAAGCCGAUGCCUAAUUUUGGGUCAUUGUGAUGGUUAAAAAAAGAAGAAAAAAAGCUCUCUUUUUUCUUGCUCGCUUUUGUGGUUUCAAGAAACCGAUUCCUACACCAAAGUGCUGACACUGUUUUUCAGGUUAGUCUGUCCUUUGCUGCAAGAACAAGGAAGACCUGCAGACAAUCAAUUGAUAAAGGGGCAGAAGCUAAAUUAGGAGUACAAGUGCUCUAAUACCAUAAAAAGGAAUUAAGGAAGACAAGGGAAGAAGGGGAAGAUUUUCUAUAUUUCUUUCGUUAAUUACUCAAGUGUACAAAGCUCUGUAAUUAUAGUACAUGAUGUUUACAGAUGGAGGGAAAGAAAAUAUCCCAAGAAUCAAAUCCAAUCUUUGAUUGAUAUAAUAAAUCAAUCUGAAUCCGAAUGGAUAUUGCACAUCUUGAGCAUAUAUUCCAAGAGGUCGGCUCUUUCAAGCCUAGCUUUUGUUGUAAUGCUUGCAAGCAUUAUUUAGUGUACUUUGUGCUGCAAUACUAUCAUCCCAAGUAGCAGGAAUUGUUGGGUAUGUGACCCUUUACUCUAAUAUCACUUGUUAGGUACGCCGAAGCAUUGAGGUGGUAACAUGGGAAAAUUGUAAUAAACAACUAAAAGCACACUCAAUAUGCUAGCCUGCGUUACAAAUAUAGCACUCAAAAUAAUCAAUAAAAAACAAGUACUACAAUAAACUCUCUGUCACCAUAUAAAAUACUCACUCAAAACAAACUAGCUAUACAAGCACAUGCGCUCAACUAUUCUAUUUUCCCUUCUUGCUCACAGAGGGAUAACUCGCUCACAUAGAACAACUUUCUCUAGGAUGCGGUGCCUCUCUCUCUCUCUUGACUUGAAGCUCACCUUUGCACCUGGUGACUUCCCAUUACGAAGCUCUCAUGCAUGUCGCUUCUCACCUGGUGGCUUCCUCUCUAGCUUGAGGUUCUCUGCCUGCGUGUGGCAUGAGGUCCUCUCCCUGGCCUGAGGCUCUCUCUCUUAGGUUCUUUGCCUGCGGUGGCUUGAGGUUGUUAAGCCUGCGGCUCUUUCCUAUCCUGUUGGGAUUAACGGAUUCCCAAAAACCGGAUUCGACACUAAAUCGAACCCCUAAAACGAAUGCGGAAGACAAGCCCGGGAAAAUCACAUAUCAUCGAUCAUAAAGCACACCACGGAUUCGAACGUACCUUGUUAGCUACAGAUUAAACACCGACAUCGAUAUGAGGAAGAGAAUUUGGCCAUGUUCGAUCCGAUGACGCCAAUUCGCCUUGAAGGGAAGAAAAACGUUGCCUUGUACUUUAUUGUUUUUCUUUUUGGAGAGAGAGAGGGAGAGGGACGUACGUACGUUAAUGAUUCCAAAAGGUGCGUUCUCCCUCUCUCUCCUCCCUUAUAUACGUCCCCUCUAAAAAUAUUAACAUACCCCUUCAUCCAUGGGCCCUAAUCCUGUGGGCCGGGCUUUUAGGCCCAACAUGGGCGGACGGGCCUUAAGCCCAUUACAUAAAACCAUCAUCUCCCACUCGCACAUGGUGGGCCGAACAGGAUUCUCUUUACCUCUCUUCAACAUUCAUACCGGUGAAUAAUCCAUGCGACCAGCAUACUUUGAGAGCUCGUUGCUAUACAUCUGUUAGGAAUAUAUAGCAGCUCAUAAUGGGCAUCACACUCUGAGUAGAUUUAGUAUGCAGUACCCUAGAUCGAUCGAUCACAUUUAUAUCUCUCUUGAUCUCUUUUAAAUAAUGAUAUAUAUAUUGCAUUCACAAUUAUGAUUAUCCCAAAGACAGUCAUAAUUGGUCGACCAGUGAAUACAAAACUACAAUGUGAUUCUCCAAAAUCGAUCUUCCUCUUUCCUUCAAACUCUCAAUUUCAGUUCAGCUUGCUUUUCUAGAAAUGUCCCAUUAGAUCGAAUCAACUCAUGACCAUUGGCAACAUUUUAAGAUAGCAAACACUAAAUAGAAAUCUUGAGAAUAAGUAAGAGUUAUGAGGGCACUAAAAUUGAGGAACUCUUUUCCUCAAAAGUCUCAUACGUCAUAAAAGUUGAGAUCAAACUUUUUACCACUCUUAUUGGUCGUCUCAUGCAUACGUAGUAUGAAAUACGUAUUACGGUAUUAACUCAUUUCCCAUGGAGCGUAUGUCUACACUUUCAAUACCGUACAUAUGAUAGUUCAGACAUACCCAAUGUCUAACUUGAGUUCACGUAUCUACUCAUUCACAAAAUUCAUCAAAACUCACAUCUGGUAUCUUGGACAGAUAAAGUAAAAUAUGUGGGGUAUUUUACUUUCGGACAUAGUAAGUAUUAUGUCCUCAUCUUAACACUCAGUUAAGGCGACAUACGUAUUUUACGCUUGAGUUCUCGAUUAUCACCUAGAUAAUAAGCUUAAAAAACAAUCUCAUCUCUAUUUAUCACACAGUAAAUAGAGGCGAUUACCCGUGUGAGUGGGCUAAUCUUAUAUAUGUUUGACAUACUUUCUCAACUUAAAAUAAUACACUGAGCAUUAAGAUGCAUAAAGAUCAAACAAAGAUUCAUAGGCAUUAAUAAUGAAACAACACUAGUUCAUAAAUGUGAACAACUCAGGGAAAUUACAAUCCAGUACAUCAGACUCUACGCAAUCCUAGAGAUUUUACAUGACCACAAAACACAUCUCUAGGUAUUGGCUUUGUCAUAGGAUCUGCUACCAUUCUAUGCGUAGAUAUACACUGUAAGUUCACAUCCUUUCGUGCAACCAUAUAUUUGACAAAAUUAUACUUGGUAUCUAUAUGUUUGGUCUUGUCAUGAUAUUUUGGAUCUUUAGUGUACGCUAUAGCUGCUUGGCUAUCACAGUUAACCAAUAAUGGAUUUGCAGCUUUCUCAAUAACACCUAAAUGAUCCAAAAAUCUCUUAAGCCAAACUCCUUCUUGUACCGCUGCUGAUAAUGUCACGAACUCAGCUUCCAUCGUGGACAAGACUAUACAUGUUUGCUUCUUACUGCUCCAUGAUAUGGCGCCAUUGUUCAGUAAGAAAGCAAAUCCAAAGGUAGAUUUUCUUUCAUCUAAAUCUCCUCCCCAAUCAACAUCUGAAUAGCCUUCAAGUCGCAGAUCCUUUUCUUGGUAAUUCAACUUGUAAUCAGCAGUUCCCUUCAGAUACCUCAGUAUUCUCUUAACGGCUUUCCAAUGUGCUGGACCUGGAUUGGAUUGGUAUCUACUCACCAUUCCAACUGCAAAACAUAUGUCGGGUCUUGUACACAUCAUAGCCUACAUCAAGCUCCCAACAGCACUAGCAUAAGGAACAUAUUUCAUUUGUUCCUUCUCUUGUGGAGUCAUUGGACACAGUCUAUGGCUUAAUCCUUCACCUUUUGCAAUAGGAGUGUCUAUGGGUUUACAAUCUUGCAUACGAAAUCGUUCAAGAAUCUUAUUUAUAUAUGUUUCUUGCGAAAGAAACAACGAUCUCUUGAAAUCUUAACUCCAAGAAUGUAUGCAGCCUCACCCAUAUCCUUCAUCUCAAAGUUGGAAGACAACAAACUCUUGACAGUAUUAACAAACUCCAUAUUGCUUCCGACAAUCAGUAUAUCAUCAACAUAUAAUGAUAUGAUCACAAAUUGAUCCUUGGAUCUUUUGAUAUAUACACAAUGAUCCUCAUCAAUCAUUGUAAAAUCAUAUGCCAUUAUGGCAUUAUGAAAACGUAUAUACCAUUGUCUCGAUGACUGCUUAAGACCGUAUAUUGAUCUCAAAAGUCGACAUACCCUUUCUUCUUGGCCUUUCAGUAUGAAACUAGCAGGUUGUUCCAUAUAUAUUUCUUUAUCUAAUUCUCCAUUGAGGAAAUGAGUCUUUACAUCCAUCUGAUGUAACUCAAGAUCCAUACUAGCCACUAUUGCCAGAAUAAUGCGAAUCGAUGUAAAUCUCACUACAGGAGAAAAUGUAUCUUCAUAAUCAAUUCCUUCAUGUUGAUUAUACCCUUUCGCCACAAGGCGAACCUUAUGCCUUUCUAUCGAGCCAUCAGCCUUUCGCUUUAUUUUGAGAACCAACUUGUUCCCAAUAGCUCUACGUCCUUUUGGAAGAUCAACCAGUUCCCAGACUUGGUUUGAUUUCAUGACUCCAUUUCUUCUUCCAUUGCAUGAAUCCAUUUUUCUUUACUAGGGCAAUUCAGAGCCUCAUUAAUAUUUCUUGGCUCAUCCUCAUCUUGUGGAGCAACCAUAAAAGUUUCCCCUUCAAUGUCAAAACGUUGACUGGGAAUACUUUGGCGACUUGUUCGCCGUAUGGGAGAUUGUACACUUUGCACAUUAUUCCCCAUUAUGCUCCCAUUUGGAUUAGAUAAUGAUGAUGUCGUCUCAUCAUGUGGUUGCAACUGAGAAUGAGUUGAAUUCAAUUCAUCAUUUCUCAUAUCACUCCCACUUGGACGAACUUUAUUAAUAUCGUUAUCUUGAUCCAAGGUUUCAAAUAGGGAGUAAUCUUCCCCUAUUUCGCCCUUCUUAGGAAAUUCAUCCUCUAAGAAUGUGACAUCUCGUGAUUCAAAUUCAGUUAUACUCCCACUUUCCUGCUCACCUAUGAACAUAUACCCUUUCGAGUGUUCUGAGUAUCUUAUGAAAAAUACUCUUCUUUCCUCUGGGACCCAAUUUCCCAAACUUGUGAGAGAACUCAUGAGUAUAGGCAGCACAACCCCAUGGCUUAAGAAAACCUAAGUCCGGUUUUCUACCUGUCCAUAACUCAUAUGGAGUGGAAGUAACUGAUUUGGAAGGCACCCGGUUAAGUAUAUAGACAGCAGUUAACAACACAUCACUCCAAAAAGUAAUAGGUAAGUUAGCAUGCGCCAUCAUGGACCUAACCAUUUCCAGUAUGAUUCUGUUUCUUCUAUCCGCAACACCAUUUUGUUGAGGAGUAUAUGGAAUAGACAACUGUUUUUCUAUUCCUUUUUCAUCACAUAAUUUUCGGAACUCAUCAGAUAAAUAUUCUCGACCUCGAUCGGAUCUCAAUGCUUUUAUUUUCUUGUCUAAUUGAUUUUCUACCAGGUUCAUAAACCUUUUGAAACAACUUAAUGCUUCAUAUUUAUGAGAAAUCAAAUAGACAUAUCCGAAUCGAGUAUAAUCAUCUAUAAAGUGAUGAAAUAAACAGCCCCAUGCCUUCCUCUCACAUUCAUUGGACCACAGACAUCAGAAUGGAUUAAAUGCAGAGGAAAUUCAGCUCUUUUACCUUUUCCAAAUGGUUUCCUUGUCGUUUUCCCUUCUAGGCAAUGCUUACAUAUGGGCAAAUCGACUUUUUCAAUGUUGCCCAACAAGCCAUCUUUGGCUAGUCUAUUCAUACGUUGUUGGCCAAUAUGACCAAGUCUAACAUGCCACACAUUUACAUCAUUAUCAUACGAAUUAGGAGACGUGAGAAGGGAAUAACAAACAUUUGCAUUAACAUAGUCAAUAUCUAAUACAAUGAAACCAUCCAGAAAAUAACCACAACCAUAGUAAUUUGUAUCCAAAAACAAAUCCACACAUUUAUUAUGGAAGUUCAUAUUAAAACCUAGUUUAACCAACACCAAAACAGACACUAAAUUCCGACGAAUCUCCGGAGCAUACAAUACAUCAUGAAGAAACAAAGUGCGUCCACCACGCAUGUUCAAUUGGCAGGUGCCAAUUCCUUUCACUUCAGCUCUGGAGUUGUUUCCCACAUAGAUCCACUUAAUUCUAGUUAGUACUCGUCGGAAUUCCACAAAUGAUUCUCUAUCCUUCGCUACAUGGUCUGUCGCUCCUGAAUCUAUAGUCCAUAAAGGAUUAGACUCAAUUAAGAAUAUAGAACUCGACACAAAAGUAAAGUUCUGAAAAGUACAAGGGGUGUUUACCUUCUUUGGCUCACGACAGUCGCGAGCAUAGUGACCCUUCUUGUCACAAUUGUAACACUUCACCCUUGUAAGCUUUUUCAUUCGAGGACGCUUUCCUCUUUCAUGUUGGUUAAGCUUGGGUUUCUUCCCUGAAGGACCUACUUCCUUGCCUUUCCCUUUAUCAAACCAGUUAGGACGUUUGCGCUUAGAGCUCGAAGCUCCAUGUGAGCUAGAACCAGCAUGAUAGAUUUCAGCUUCUGGCUUAGCCACCAAGAGGCGGUCCUCUUCCAGCUCAAGAUGACGCAUUGCAUCCUCAAAGGUUUUGAUAUUUUCAUUAUGAGUCAGGUGCACCUUCAUAUGCUCCCAACUCUGAGGCAAGGAACAAAUCACUGCUUGCACUUGCUGCUCAUCAGUGAGGACAUGGCCAGCAUCUUUCAACUCAUGUUUGACAUCUUCUAAGAUGUUGCUUCAUGGUCUGACCAUGAGGCUUCUUAUAAGAGUCAAACCUAAUAGUGAGCUGUCUCAGUCUGGUCAUCGAAGUAUGACCAAAUCUAGCUACCAAUGCUUCCCACAUUUCCUUGGCAUUGUCAAAACGCCUAAACUCUCGCAUGACGUCAUUUUUCAUGCUGCUCAGCAACGUGAUGUGAGCAAGAGAGUUCUUUCUUUUCCAUGCAGCAAAACCUUCCUUAUCUCUCUUGUGCUGUGCAGUGUUUCCUUCUUCAGGUUCUACCAUGGUCAGGUUAAGAGCUUCAAGUGCCUCUUGCUCUUCCAGCACAUAUUGGAUUUUCAUGUGCCAUAUUUCAUAGUUGUCACCAUUGAGCUUUUCACCUUUGUUCAGCUCGGCAACUAUGCUCUUUGUGGCUGAAGCCAUUGAUCUAAACACAUCAGACAUAUAUGCACAAAUUAUUAAUGCCUAUCACUUAUGCAUCCCUUUUGCACAGACCCAUCAUAUUAAUGAACAAUUUCAAGUAAGGUUUUAGAAUCAAAAGGUCACUAAGUUUCCAAUCAUCCUCCAAAAAUCCUAACUUAAAACUAUCAUUAAUAUAAUUGUCUUAUGCAAAAUAAAUUCUAUGAAACUACAAAAACUUUUAUAACUACCCACAAUAACCAGCAAUAACAUAAAGCAAAUAAUAAUCGACAUCCAAUAAAACAAUAAUGCUUUCACAUAAUACAACUAACAUAUCGGUUGCUACAUCAACAACAAUCAGGUAGUAAAUAUUACAUAAGAUGUCCACAAAGCACACUUAACAAUGAUCAGCCAAUACAUCUAACACCAAGUCAGCACACGAACUGGGAAAGAUCCUCUUUUAUUCAAUUUCUUGAUCUUUUCCCUUGUAACAAUCCAAUAAUAUUCAUCUACAAAAUCCAUCACAAUUUUCUUAUAUGAAGUAGCUCUGUUGACAUCCCAUAUGCGAUUCAACACUCCUUGCCAUUCAGGUGGAAGGGUGUUCAUGAAAAAUCGCACCAUCUCUGACUGUGGCAUAAGACGACCAUUCCAUAUGACCUUUUGAAUUUUUCCCGUUGACUUCAAGGACGUGAUUAAUUAAGUCACCACUCUCCCAUCGAUGAUCAGUCAACUCAGCUAUCAACUUAGAAAGUCUUUCCUUUUGUUCAUCGGUAAUUGCGUGAAUAGGUGUGCGCAACCUCAGAGGAUACAUUGUUCCUGCAACAAAUACAGAACAAAUAAGGAAUCACAUAUAAUCCACAUAGACUUAAUUGAAAAAGAAACACAUUCUUUUCCUCCCUUUUUUUUUGGGGGUCAACGGUCAACGUAGUCGGUCAACGGUCAACGGUCGUCGAUCAACGAUCAGGUUGCUGGAUCGUUGGACCGGUCGGGCCGGGUCGGAAGAAUCGACCGGCACGAGCCACGCGCGUGCGCAGGCUGACGUCACACAGACGUCAUCCGGCACGUGCGCGGCAUGUGCCAGGCUUCCAACGGUCGUCGGCGAUGACAUCAUCCCAGUGGUUACCGUGACGUCACUGUGACGUCAGCACACGUCGGUUCGCCGACCGGCGUGUGCCGGUUCGCCGGCCGGCGGCGCGCACGUGCCGGUUCGCGUGCCGGUUCGCCAACCGGCGCGUGUGCCGCACGCGCUAGCCUAGCCAGCGCUUCGAGCGCGUCGCGCCUACGCGCAACGGCUUCUGGCCGCACGUGUGGGCGCGUCCGGCAACGCCCGACCCGUCGACGAACUCGUCUCGACGAGCUCUUUCACCCUAUGCCUUCAGAAAUCGAUUUUGACUUUCAGAAACUUGAAAAAAUGGAUGAACGGUGCUUGGGUGUUGGGAUUUUUCGCCCCGAUCCAUGUCGGCCGAGUAUUUUCGCGAAAAUUCAAUAAAAAAACAUGAAAGGUGUCGGGAAAACAUGAACUAGGGCUAUGAUACCAAUGUUGGGAUUAACGGAUUCCCAAAAACCAAAUUCGACACUAAAUCGAACCCCUAAAACGAAUGCGGAAGACAAGCCUAGGAAAAUCACGUAUCACCGAUCCUAAAGCACACCACAGAUUCGAGCGUACCUUGUUAGCCACAAAUUAAACACCGCCGCCGAUAUGAGGAAGAUAAUUUGGCCAUGUUCGAUCCGAUGACGCCAAUUCACCUUGAAGGGAAGAAAAACGUUGCCUUGUGCUUUACUAUUUUUCUUUUUGGAGAGAGAGAGAGGGAGAGGGACGUACGUACGUUAAUGAUUCCAAAAGGUGCGUUCUCCCUCUCUCUCCUCCCUUAUAUACAUCCCCUCUAAAAAUAUUAACAUAUCCCUUCAUCCAUGGGCCCUAAUUCUGUGGGCCGGGCUUUUAGGCCCAACAUGGGCGGACGGGCCUUAAGCCCAUUACAUAAAACCAUCAUAGCCUAACUUCAAAUGCUUCACGUACUGCCAUAUUUAGAGGAGUUCCACUGCCUCUUGAAGUCCAAUCGACUUCAAUGUGAAAGAAUCCAGCCACAACUUUUCUUCUCUUUCUUUGCCAGCUUCAAUUUGUUAACAGAUGGCUAAUCAAUGCAUGAAGACUAUCUUGGACUUUCCUUUUCUCUCUUUUUGACCAACGUGUUGCCCCUGCUUCAUGAAGACUUCACUCUCUACUUGUGAGAGGAUACAAUAUUAUAAUAACGUGUGCUCGUAAUUUUUGACCAAAACUUCUUUUUUCUUUUGUUUCAUUUUAUGGAGGUUCCAAAGGCAAUUUCCAAUAGGACACUUUUGUCUUCAACAGCUUCUCAUUGCUUCUUCAUACUUGCGGCUUCUUGUUUUCAACUAGGUGUUGACCAGAAGUUACAUUACUAUCAUCCCAAGUAGCAGAACCAAAAGUUACAUCUUCCAUAAUGAUUUCAUUACAUACAUAAACUCUGUUUUCAGUGAAUCUUUUGAGUUUUUAUUACUUUCCUUGUGGACAGGUGAAUGUUGAGUGAGCGAACGAAUAGUCAUCAUAACUAUAGUGAUGUAUGAACCAAUGAUCCCACUCCACCUAGGAAUCAGAACUUACUCCACCCUAGGCCUAGCCACUACCGAGUUCCAUGCAACUGAGGACAGGAUCGGCCAGUUAAACAGCGCUCGCCAACUAACAAAACCAAAGUUACAAGCCAAAAACUAGUGCAAAACUAUCAUUAUUUUAUAGCCAUGCUAAUUACCUAACAAAUAAAUUAACGUUCCACCCAGAAAGAGCACAAUGUAUCAUAAAAUGCAUCUCCAUCAUUGUCAACCUAUUCUUGAGUUGUCUCUUCCAAAAACCAAAGUUGUCGCCCAGUUCACCGCGACAUAGAAUCUGUUCCUCUAGCUGACUACCCUCGUGAGAUAAGCAGAAUGCCAAACCAGCCAACUCACAAAUCCCACAUGCAAUAUUCCCUUUGUGUCCUGCAAAAAGAAUGUUUGCAUAAGUGACAGUCAUUAAUUUAGCGAAUAAGUACGGGCACAUCAAAAUCUAGGUAAUAAACCAUUAGUAUGUCAUGGUAGCAUGUUAUGUACCUUAGACUUGUGUAAAUUGACAAGCGCCUUGUAACGCCCUACAGAAGCCAUGCUUCCCAAAUGUCUGUACACAAAUGGGUCUCUUAGAGGUAUGUCUUUCGAGCAAAAUGCUUUCCCUCCAUUUUGCUUCCCUAUCCUACGAAGUAGCUCCUCCAAGAAUUUCCCUUCCCUUUCUGUGACUUGUUUCAGAAAUUAGCAUUCGUGUUAUUUCCAAAGAAAGAAGGAAACCGAGCGUUUAUGCAAUGAGAAAGCAAUGGUGAAUGACCACUUCCAAGUUCAAAUGGAAGGAUGAUGCCACUUGUUAUACAAAGUAGAGCAAGGAACUAAAGUUGAAGAUUGUAGAUCAAACCAAAAGCUACAAUGAGACGUCUUUAAAGGAAUUAGACAGGGUGACUGAACCUGAGCUAAAGCAAGAAGCACCGGCCUCCCUGUCUGUUCAAGAAAACCCGCACAAUCUCCCGACGCAAAACACAUCUUCCAUUGAAGGUAUCCUCAACCAUUCGUCAACCCCAAUCCUAAAACAGUUGAGAGGACAAAUCAUUCAAUUGGAAGGUGGUGGAAUGCUAAAAUGAGAUCAUCAUAAGGUUCUUAUCCUCACCUUCCACCAGGGGAUUUGGGAAGAUCAAGUGACUUGAUAAACUCUAAGGGUCCAACGCCGGUGGACCAAACUAGGAGGCCAUAUGGAACAUCCGUACCAUCACUCAGCACAAUUUUCUUUGCAUGCACCUCUUUGACCACGCCUCUUUUAAGGCGAACACCAGACUAGCAUUGAAAGCAUUAAGGGCCCGUUUGGUUCAGCUUUGGGGAAAUGCCAUUGGGAGAAUGCAAAUACCUUUGAGAUAAAAGGGGUUUUCCGAAAUGCUAGACUGUUUGGUAAACUAAAACUGAAAAGUGCUUUAGGGAAAUGUAAAACUGUUUGGUAAACUUGUAUUUGAAAAGCCAUUUGGUAUGACCAAAUUAAGUGUUUUAGUUUUAAUAUUUUUAAAAUUGCAAAAAAGAAACAAUGAGUAUACAACAUUUUACAUUUUCAUGUUGAAAGUAAUGUAAAAGAUACAUAUUAGUAAAUUUAUUUAAAAAUUAUAUUAAAAGAAUUUGAUUAUAGAUUAGAUGCAAAGCUCAACUUUUGGCCUAGGAUUCUUUUAGGUUUGUUUUCAACUUUGAAUAGUUUUUUUUAAUUAUUAUAGUAUUAAUCAUAUUCGUUAAUUAAUUAUCAUUCUAGUAUAUUAAUAAAAAAGUUGGGCUAUUGAUUGUCAAAAGAUAAAAAUGAUAUAGCAAAAAAGAAAAAGUGAACUUAUUCGGUGGAUGAUAAAGCGACCGAUUGUGGAUGCUAUUUUUUUUUUUAGUAAACACCGCAUAUAAAAAGGGAGGUCUUCAUUAAGAAAAAUAAAACCAAGUUCCUCUCAUACAAAUUUGACUAGAAACAUUUCAUGAUAUUUAACAUGGUCAUAUAUGUCCCAAAAAAAAAAGAAAUACGUCGAAUGCAAAUCAACAUCAAAAUGAACUGUUAGAAAAGAUGACAGUAACUUGAGAAAGAAAAUCAACUUACCCUUGUUAGAUGAUUCGUCGCAUACUGCCUUAAGCUAACGUCGAAUGCUGACAGGAUUUCAUUGCCUAUUAAAGGGUGUACUUGUCAUUGCAUGUUAUUUACAAUUUUUCCGAACUGAUGCUAGCAUCUGCAUGCAAGUGUGUAUGAGUACCUCAAUAAGGGUGACUUGAAUGUAAUCCUUAACAUGAGGAAAAUGUUCACAAACGUCUUUCAUGAUAAAAUCACUUAAUUCAUCACUAAACUCCACCCCAAUUGGUCCACCUCCAAUGACAAUACAGUGUAAAAGGCGUUUCCUCUCUUCUUCUAAUAUGCCUAUAAGAUACAGAGAAAUGAAGCCGUAAAAUCUCGCCGAUCAUUAAUUAUUGAAAAUGUGGAGGCGACAACAAUGAGCAUUUUCUUCUAUUUUUGUGGCUUUGAAGGUUGCUCUUUAAGUGCAAUUCAUGACGUAGGAGAAUUGAAGUACCUGGAUUUUCAGAGAGCAUGAGGUUCAACAAAAGCUUCUUCCUGAUUUCUUGGGCAUGAUUCACCUCACGAAGGAAGUAGGCAUGUUCCUUAACACCUUUUGUACCAAAAGUCAAGGGCUCAGCUCCGGCUAUGAUGACCAGCUUGUCGUAUGCGACUUUAAACCGGUAAGGCUCUUGAGACAGUCUGCCGUAGCCAACCGUUUCACAGUACACCUGGUCAAUAUGGAAUGAGAUUUACCAAAAGAGACAAACAGAUAGGAAUUACGUAGCAUAAUUGCAAAACCUAGUGUCUUUUGACAUUUCGUACUGGUGCAUCUUCAGUUCCAUCACCUUGAAGAAAUGAAAUUUAACCUUAUCUCACUAUGCAGUAUGUACCUAAAUCACUUUUCGACAUGUCCAACAGUGUGUACAAUGCAUGUCGAUAUAUGUUAGUUAGUUCACCUAUCACAGACAGAAUUCUUAUAGCCAGGACCUCGACACAAAUGCAAAAGUGUGGACAAUCCAUCUCAAUGUUUGUCACUCGGCAUAUCGUAAAUUUAUGAUGUUUGUUCAUUGCUACUUGAAGAAGAUGGAGGAAAAUUCCAGUCAAUCAAUACAUGCAAAAUGAAAUGGAACUGACCAUAUUCUUGGAGGAAAAACUAUAUGAGCAUCAAGAUCAACAUACGAUAGCCAGAUAUUCAACUUACUUCAUGCUUGGCAGUGUCAAUUCCAGUGCAGGAAGCCAAAUGGAAGUACGAAUUGGGAGUUGCCGCAAGAGCAGGCUCUAUCCAGUUCACGGGCUCUGUGACCGAACGGAACUCCAAAGUUCCAACACAUGUCGAUGGAAGAAGGGGAGUGAAAACCAUGUGAUUUCGGGGGGAAACGCACACGAUAUCAUAUAUGCUCAUAUCAAGCCCCUUCAUGAACCGGCAAGCCACCCACCCAGUACCAAGAACGACCACCCUUGGCUUUUCUCCGGGCUUAGUCGGUUCAAGACCUGUAUAUCUGUCCCUCUCAUAUGCAGAAUCGGACUCUGCCAAUGCCCUCUCAGUGACAAGAAAUUGAUCAUGUGGGGUUGUCCUAAUUCCUCUGCUCCACUUACUAGCACAAUCUAACUUAUUCAAUGGUCAAAAAAAUCGCUUCUCGUGGGGAUACCUUUGAAAGAAGAAAAGGAAAAUGAUUUCGCGAGUACUCCUCUAAAAAUUUCUUCUUUUCCAUCUGUCAGGCUCCCAACAGCACCUCCUGUUCUUCUCAGGUUGCUUCGAACAAAACUUGCAAAUGCCAAUGGGUAAAACACUAGUAAUUCAAAUGCAAGUCAAUAGCCUGGAUCUUUAGGCCUAUUGAUGAAAUUGCACCUGAGAAAAAAGAGACGCUUGGGCUUAAUGCUAUAAGAAAAGCAGAAAGAUAUAGAGAAAGACUGUGCAAUCGCUCCAUGAUAUCAGGAGGAGGUAAAGACAACAUGUAGAACAACUGGAGUUUGGUCCAAGCGAAAUGGAGACAAGUAAUUGGUGUGUGACAACUAUUUCUUCAAUGACUGCUGGGACAAAGACCAGAAGCCAACUUAGCAUGGGUCAUCAACUGAUGGCACAUGCAAUGAGAAAAUUUCUUGUGGUUUUCUAUAAGCCAAUAAAAGACAACAAAAAAGGCCUAUAUUUCUGGUAGGAAAGGCAUGAUUUGUAACUGACUCAUUCAAUCAAAGGCUUGAUCUUUUGUGCAACAGCCAAUUUGAUGAUUUCAAGAAUCUCGUUUGACUAGAUUCCAAAAAUCCACAAAGUGCAAAUCUCACCAAGUGUCAGCAUAUGCCUGGAGGUUUACAUGGGAUGCCAUGAUCGAGAACAGUGAAAAAAGAAUAUCAACAGACACAAACGGUUUGCUUUCACCUGCUCUCUAAUAGGAUGAACACCCAGAUAAAAGUAGAACAAAAGGAAAGAACAGUUCUUUUCACCUAGAACUUUAUCAGUUCCUCAAGGUGCAUCACAUAAAGGGUCGUUAGCUGAAUACUGUUUGAGAGUGCAUGUCGAAUAUUUAUUAGUCUAACUACAGAGAGGUUAAAUAAACCAAGUGCAGAUCUAACCAGGGAGCUCUGCAUCUAGAAACACCAACAAUCAAUCAAUAGUGGCCCCCCUAACAAUGUAAAUGCGAAUGGUCGGUAACCCCAAAAGACAGCGACAAAGGCCCCGUUUGGUUCAGCAUUUCCAAGGGCUUUCAACCCGGAAAGCCCUUUGGGAAAAAAAAAGUCAGCCCUUCUUGUUUACUAUCCUGUCCUUUGAAAAUCCUCAAUCAGCAUAGAAAAACUCGGACGUUUCAUCAGGUUCAAGGACUUGUAUCGGAAGCAACAAGCUUGUCAAUAUGCAUGGACAUCGACAAAGUCACAAGUAAACAAGCAUUCGCAACAACCACCUGGUAACACCACCACAAGGUUCACUACCCGCGAUCAGUAUUAAAAAAACAGAGAGCUUCCUUGCUAAUGCUUCAUCAAAAUCCGACCUUUACCGUCUCAAAAGGUCAGAUGGGUCUCUACAUGGUUUAGCGAGGAAAGAAACAAGGAUAGCUCAAACCUUGUCAGUUCUUGACAGCCACCACCUUAUUCAUCUAAAGCCAUGUUACUAAGGAAUUUCGCAUGCCAAGCAAGGGCCAGAGGCAGUAGAGCGAAUGCUUAAACCGCAAGGCGAUGUCAAUGGAGGUUUCAGGUUCCAAGUUCAACCAAGACAAAGCUUUCGAGCUUUCGAGCUUGAGUUGAGGCAGAGGAGAGAGAGGGUCCAAUAUCUCAGGAGCUUCAGACAAGGUGCAACAAUCCCAGAGAAUGAACCUCAAAUUGCGUCACAUGUCCAACGUGGGCCCACGUUGUCAAGCCAUUUUCUCCCUACUUUUCUCUUUAGGCAUUUGGUUCAGCAUUUGGAGGUGUCAUUGGCCAAAUGCUAGCAUUUGGAAUGCUGAUAUAAGAGUUAAUGAGUUUUUUUUCUUUCCAAUAUUACCCCCAUUAUAAUUGUGUUCUCCUCUUUUGCCCUCAUAAGACACUGUUCAUCAUCUUCUUCGGGUGACUGUGCACGGUGGGCGGCGCUCAGCCGCAAGCGACCAGAUCUAGCCGCCAGGAAGCCUCGCUUGAGGUCGCACGACCUCAGGCAAGGUGGCUUGAGGUCGGGUGACUGUGCGACCCAGGCGACGCCCGAGGUCGCCUGACCGCAAGCAAGGUGGCUUGAGGUUGCGGCAGCGUCACCUGGGUCACUCGACCUCAAGCAACGCCACCGGAGGCCCGACGUUGCCUGGGUCAUGCAACCUAGGCUCGCCAGAGGUCAGCGCGACCCCCCCCCCCCCAAACCGCCGUCGCCGCCUCCGCCGCCACCGUCGCCACUAGCCGCCUCCCCACCACCACCGGCGCCACUGUAGAGCCACCUCCCCCCACGAUUUUCCCCUCUCCACCCAGCUGCAUCUCCUCCCUUUCUUCUUUUCUUCUCUUUUUUUUUUCCUUUUUCUUUUCAACCUAAAGCUACUUUGCAAAUAUACACAUUUUUGAGUGUCCAUACACACUAGCAUUCACAAAAUGCCCAUUCAGUCAAAGAUACUUGAGGAAAUGCAAAGUCAUUUCCCCAAAAUUGAACCAAACGGGCCCUCUCUCCUAUAUCCCCACUUUUCUCUCUCUUCUUCUCUCUCCCUCCUCUGCAUGUUCUCUCAGCCAAUUUCUCCCCACUUUUCUCUCUCCUCUCUUUCUCCUCUCUCCUGUUGGAUGCAAAACAUGUAAUCCAAAGAUCUCUAUAACAAGAAUAAGAGCAUAGAUGAUUGAGUAGAAAAAUUAACGUACCUGAUUUGGAAUCCAUCAUUCUUGAUGCAGAAGCGAAAAGCGAUGAUCCACACGCAAGUCAUUCUCCUCUAUUGCCCUAUGUAUCACAAGCUCAAUGAGAUGGCCCCUUACCCUUUAGCACUAGGUAAACGCUCAUUAUGUGAGGAUAGUUAUGAAAAUUAGGAUUAAAUGAGAAACUUGAGCAAUAUUUAUAUAUUUUCCAACUAGGCCCUCUCAUUACAGGCUAGGGGCCCACACUAACAAGUCCCUUAUUAGACUAAUUAAGAAACAUUCUAUCUCACCUUAGAACAACCCCGUAAAACGGUAAAUUACAAUAUCAAAUAAUGUAGCCCACAUCAGGAAAAAGCUUACAUUCUCCCACUUGGGCUAUAUUAAAUGAAAUUGUACUGUAUGUGCGCAUAUUAAUCGAGAGAUAAUUCUUAAUAGUCAAUCUUAUCCCAUAAAAUUUCAAACACCGAAUUAUGGCGGUAACUAUAUGUAACAUAUAGAGCCUUCGAUGGUCACAAGUGCUUUCAAUUUUAUUGAUAUGGAUUCAAUAUGAUAGUGUGGCAAAUGAAUAACUUUUCUCAUAGAGAUAUCCCAUUUGUCAGUCACCAUUCUCUUCCCUUAAGCAUCACAAAAAACUUGUGCUACUAGAGAAUUUCUUUAUGGUUCCAAUGAACCCACAUAUAACAUGUCCUUACAGUUAACAUUUCUUUAUAUAUAACAAGACAUAUGCACAAGGCUAAUAACUGGAUGCCCUUAGCCUUCACUCAAGAUUUAUACAAUACCUUGAGACUUUAUUAAUAUGUAUUCAACAUAAUAACAACACAUUCAAAAAUAUUUUAUUGAAUGCAAAAGUUGAUACAUAUCAAACAAUUACUAAGUGUAAUGAACACAGAUGUAAACUUUAUUACAGUAAAACCGAAAUAACUCUCACUAAACAACAGCAUCUCAUGAUGCUCUUAAGUUUAUAUUAAUGACAUGUCAUUCAAGAACAGAAGAUCGAAGUCCUUUAGUUAGUGGAUCUACAAUCAUAUUAUCUGCGAAAAUAUGUUAUAUUAAAACGUCACCUUUCUGUAUCGUUUCUUUAUGGUAAAAAAAUUGACUGUCAAAUAUUUAGACUCAUUGAGAUCUAUGUCGUUAAUAAAAAUAUUAUAAAUUUAUUGUCUCAAUACAACCGUAUGGAUCAAUCCAUAAAGUUAAAAACGAAUAACUCCUUAAUGAGGUUCCAAAGCCUAAUAGCCUAAGUAAUAGCAUAAAAGAAUGUUACUAACUUUGCUUACAUAGUGGAAGAUGACAUUGAACUUUAUUUACUACAGUUCUUGCUAACAUAAAUAUGUAUUCUGUUAUUGAUCUCAUGUCAUCCUAACAGCCAGCAAAGUUUUUUUUUUUUGUAAAGAACAGCUAGCAAAAUUUACAUCUAAAUACCCUAUGAAGAAAAAAAAGUAAAAACAUAUAAUCGAAGAGAGAAAGGAUGAGGGGUUUCUAGUGGGUGGGUCCAAACAUCACACGUGUCGAUUAUUGAAUGAUUUUGUACAGGAUUGAUGAGGCAUUACUCAUGCACUAGAGUGAUAUGAAACAACAAAGAUAUGGUAAGACGAUGGAGGGAAAUCAAAGGAAGUAGGCGGAAGGAGCAAGAGCGAGAUCGAUCUUGGAUCGUCAAGUUAGAAAAGAAAUAGUCCUUUGAUGCUAAAUUUUCCCUUUCUUCAAAAUAUCAAAUCUAAUCUCGAUAUCAUGUGAAAUCUUAUGAAGAGAGGUCACGAAUUUGAACUCGAUGAUUUGCCUCACUACAGUCGAAGGAGUUUUCCUCUUGAUCUUGUAACAGGCGCUCCAAGGGGCCAAUAAUCAAGACCAAGCAUGCAUCAAAAGUCAUCCUUUUUUCUCAAGGUUAUUUAAUUCGCUUAUAUUGUCAAGGAAAGUAUGAUGUACAGCUUGCUAAAAUUUCGCGUACCAUUCAUGAGAAAAAAAAAGUGGGAAAUCUCUCUUUGUUUGAAACUUAAAGAAUUAGGUCAAGGCUGAACAAAUUAUAUUUGGUUAGCCUAUAUUUAAAUUUCACGUAAUUGACAAAAAUAAAAUAAAAGAUCUUGAAAUCAAAUGAAAUAUAAUUAUCGAAUUGCUACUUAAAAAAAAAAAUCACGCGAGGAAGGAAAAGUCCAUGUUUGCAAACGUUUGCGCUCUCGUGUUUCACCUUCCGCACGCAAAGGUUUGGAGGGCGGCGCCCAGGGCGCGAAGAGACCAUUAAGCCCUCAGCUCAUCACCUCGGCCAAGAAGUCAACGGGAGGGUAAUUAUGGGAUUUCCAUCUACUUAUUCCCUAACCCCCCAAACCAAAAUCACGAGGUCAAAAGUGAGGGAGACAAUGUUUGACGGCGGCCCUUGGUUUUUUUUUUUUUGUCAGUCCUACUCUAUUCCUACUCUACACUCACUCUCAGACUUUUGCCCUGCCUCUUGCAGGGCGUGGGAGUCGAAACCCACUCUUGAAACUUACGCGUCCCCAUCCCAUCCCCCCCUGAGAAGGUGGAGAUUUGAACCCCUCACCUCCCUCUUCCAUGUUGGAAGGGUGGCCACUGGGGCGAAUCCCAGUGGUUACGGCGACGCUUGGUUGGAAUCCAAGAAAAAGACAUUCGGUUUGCCAAUGAGAGAAGACACUUCAUUCCAACGAAUCUUGUUACUUAAUAAUAAUUUUUAUUAAUCAUAUAUUGCAACUUAUCAUCAAGUGAAAAGAUUCAUAAGAAUUAAAAACAAAAAACAAGUGCAACCUUGGGACAAACAAUUUGAUGAAUUUUUUUUUUUGGUAACCUAGGGAACCCGCGCACCAUACCAACACGAACAACCCGAAAGGCUCAGGGUAAUGAGGGGUAAACCCUGAGGGCAACACGUGCUAGCCACCACACACGUGCCACUGGGUAAGUCAACUCCUCCCCUUGCGUUAGAGGGAGAAGCUCGCCGCCAGCAGCGCCACCCAGGUGAGUGGUAACAAUUUGAUGAACUUUUGUGUUAUGCAUUGCAAUAAAUUUCAUCAUCAAUUACUAAAAAAAAUAGAAAACAAAAUAGAAGAUGAAAAUCAGAUUGCAACUCCAUAGUUAGAUGGAGCUUUCGGACUCACAUGAAGGCAAAGAAGAGACACUAGGAAGCUUCCCACAAUCAUAUUCUGCAAUACCCUUCACUACUCUACCAAAGAGGAGCCCAUAGAAUAUGACAUCUCUUAGGAACCUCAUGAAUCGACUAGACCCAUCUUGCACCCUUGCAAUGCUGUGAUCAGUGUCGCCACCCUCAAUCUCCUCUCCUUUGCGUACCUCUCUAUAGCAAAUCCGAUGUCUCCGGUCACCAGUUUGCCGUGCUUGGCAAUUGAGUCCCCAAGGUGCCUACCCAAUGCCACCGCGUCCUCGAGAGCCGAACAUCCUCCCUGGCCCAAGUCGGGAGUCAUCGGGUGCAUAGCGUCUCCAGCCACCGUGAUGCUUGAUCGAAAUAGGUUUCCGAACAGGAUGUCCCAAGGAUAUCGGAACAUCAGUGGUGCCCAUGUCAAACUCGAAAGAUCGGAGUGCUUGACGACAUCGAGGUACACGGGUGGGAAGUCCUUCGCCAAAGUUUCCAUCACCUCCCUUUGUAUCAUUUCUGGAUCUGCUUCUUUUUCCACACCUUUAUAAAUGGAAGCGUUAGGGAUCGAGGAGGAUUAGUAAGCUAGUAUUGAAGGAGCCAUCGUGGUUGGGAAUCUCAGCAGAAGAUAAAAUGUAGUAUACAUGGUACCUUUAGGAGGACACGUGGCCCCGAAGAACCAAUACAAUUCCUUAUCAUUGAGAGCAAUAAAACCUGCCCUCUCGCCCACAUCCAGAAAUUGUUGAAUCGGAUGGCCAUGAUCAAAACCAUGACCUUCUGGGAACACGGACAAUCCGCGCACUGUCGACCGGCCUGAAUAGACUGGCGAGCGAAGUCCAAGCCAACGGGCCACGAUAGAGUGCACGCCAUCGCAUCCUAUAACAACCUACAUGUAUAAUAUUUUCAGUGUGGAUAAGUUAAAGUCGAUAAGUUAUCUCAUCAUAUUUGAAAUCAAAAGAAGGUUCUCUAGAAAUUGUAGGGAACCUUAGACUUUAUGAUGGUCCCAUCAUCGAGCAUGACAAUACAAGUGGACAAGCCGUGUUCUACUUGGGUUUCGAUGGAAGUUAUCUUGGAAGAGAAUCGAAUGCUAUUUGGAGGAAGUUCCUCCGCCAGAACUUCCAACAAGACUUUUCAGUGGACCGCUCUUGGUUGGGCUCCAUUCCUGCUCAACCCAAAUGGAAUGAUUUUCUAUCCUUGGAAUACGAAAUGACAUGCAUAAAAUAAUAACAUUUGUUGUGGGAGAAAAAAAAAGCAGUCGAAAUAUAAGAUAAACAGGGCAAGAAAAUAAAUUGAAUAUUGAAUUUACGUGACUCGAUCAGUGAGAUCUACUCCACUCGAAAAAAUGGCACAAGACCCACUAACGAAAACUAUAAUUACAAAUGAGUUAUUUAAACACUCUUAUUGUUCUCUCAAUGGGGGUUGCUCUUCACGAAAAAGACCCCUUCUUAUGUAGAAAAGAAUGAUCCAAAAUAGGAAAUUUAUUGUGGAAUUUUACUUAAUCUAGGAAACCUAGUUGGAUCGAGUUCUCUUUAUGGGUCUCAAAUUCUAGACAUAUUUUCAACAACAUAAUAGAAUAAAUUACCCAAUUCUAUCUAACAAAAGGAGUAUUAUAUUUUCAAACUCUAUUAUUGAUGAUCUUCUUAAAAGAUGAGUUGUCAAAAUAGGGGCUAAUAGUCCCAUUCAUGGUAUAUUUCUGACGGUCAUUUGUAUCAUUUUGUGCAAAAUAAAACAUAUAGUAACCAAUUACAAGAAAUUAAUCAGUCUGAAACAUUAAACAGUAAAUUAGCAUAUAUGAGAGGAAAUUUGAGAUUCACCUGUUGCCUGGAUAAUGCACAACUUGAAUCGAUUUAGUCUUGACAUCAGUUAUGUAUCCCCUGACCAAGUACAAAACAAUAUAUAUAUAUAUAUAUAUAUAUAUAUAUUAAUAAGUAAAAUUAUUUUUGUCAUCUUUGAGAAAUUGUAGGACAGAUUAAGGUCCAGCAUCCUGGAUCAAUAACCGAUUUAAGAAGCUUCCAAAACAGCGAAUCCUAAAAUCAAUUUAACAUAGUACAAAACCAAUGUAGAGCUUAUCUUUCUACUCAGCACUUUUUCCCUGCAUUUGAUGAAUAUCUAAUUAGUUAUUUUAUUCUAAGCAUUAAUGGCAUUAGCAACCUCAAUAGGUAAAUUUCACGGUGCACUUUACAACUGGGAAUGAUCUCAAUUUUCAUGAUUUUCUCCCCGUGCAAGAUGUGUGACCACUUUUUGACCAAUUUUUUUAAUACCUAACUAACACAGUUUGUUAAUAACCAAAAAAAAAAAAAAUUCAUUGCGUCAUAUGAAGGUCUAGUCACUGAUUGAAAUGGGUUUUGAUUUUUUUAACUACUUUUCACUAUAAAAGUGAUUUACUUUGAGUUGGUUUUACCCCCAACGAGCUAGCACAAGAUUAGGAGUAUUUAAUCUCUUCUAAAAGAUGCUUAUACUAAUUCAGCAUCAAUCAAAUUUGAGUGCUGUCAUCUUUAAUAGCAGAGAAAUCACGCAUUUAACUCUCGAUCUGUACAUGAUUGUUGAACUAAAGAUUGGACCGAGUUUUAAUACUUCGAAACGAUAAAACAUUCCGCAAUAAUCAGACAUCUGUUUUCAAGAGCAAAGAGCGAACAAGGACCUCACUUUUCCCGAGUGCGUCGAGCGCAACCCACGCAUUAGCAAAGAGAAUGAGAGCCGCACCGGUCGUUCGGAGCUCCUCCGAUCUCUCAAGGACGAGGGCUCGGACACCGACCUUCUUAAGGGCCACCGCCGUCGCCAGACCUGCGAUGCCGGCACCGACUAUCACCAACCUGCGAUGCCGGCACCGACUAUCACCACCUCCUCCAUGUAUGGUCGUGUUCUACUUCGAGCGUGGGAGCGUGCGCCACGUGUGCUUUUGGGAUAAGGAGUCUCUUAUCUUGUGGUCGCUAUUUAUGGAGUGGCAAACUUGUCGUCUUUUGAUAAUUACGUCCAGCCACAGAAUGGAGGGAAUGAUUGAACGCAAUGCGAGCCAUUUCUAGAAAAUUUCGGUUUUUAUUUCAAAAAGAGUGAAAUUAAAAUUUCCAACCUGAAUAUAGACUUCUCAAAUUCAUUUGAUUUUCCAGAUUCUCUUCGGUUCUUUUCUCUAUUUUACUAAGCUUUCGCUCUUGUAAGGGGGAUUUGAACUUGCUUUGUUGGGUUUAGCUUUGUGACAUCCAUAAGUUUAAAACGUGUAACUUGUUAAGCUGUAAAUUGUCUGAUUGACAGUACGAGGGACUUCAGAUUGCCAAUUUCGAGCUUGGUCUUUAUUGAGGACUCUUACGUGAGGGGGCUGGCUUUCAUUUAACAAAUUUUUAGUGACAUUUUGCAUACUUCAGUUGCAGCAACUAUUUUUGGGAAAAUUCCAAAUAAGGACCCGAAGUUGACCAAUUUUCUCAAAUAAUGACCCGAAAUGAACUUUGUGUCAAAUAAAGACAUAAAGUGGAUCCAUUAUCUCAAAUAAUGACCCGAAGUGGUUGAAUCAAUUUCAAAUAAGAACCUAAGCUUGCUGGUUAGCCAAAUAUUCACCAGCUAUCAAGCAUGUGAAAGUUCCAACGAUUAGAGUUUGGGCAAUUUUGUCCAAAAAAAAUAUAGGGAAAAUUAACAACUCCUAAAACAGAAAAAAAAAACCCUAGGUUUUCUACGGUCUCCCCGUUCCUUGUACCCAUCCGCCGCAAAGUCAAAGACUGAAGUUCUCCCCAUUCCUUGUACAUAUCCUCCGCAAAGUCAAAAACCCAGAUUCUCCACCGGUUGAGACAUGAAUUCAAAAACAAGAAGAAAACUAGACGCUUCUUUCUUUGUUUGCGGAGACACAAAUUCUCCGUCGGUUGAGCAAGGCAAGGAGUAGCGGGGGGAAGAAAGAAGAAAAUGUAAACAUCUAAAUGAAUAACCUAAACUUAAUUAAUAUAGAAUUUUCCCUUUUUUUCCAAUCACAAAUUUCUAACAAAAUUGCCCCUAUUUUAAUAGCCGGAAAAUGUUUGCCGGUGAGCUAAGAUCCUCAAUAGAGAUUAACUUGAUUACUUCGAGUCCUUAUUUGACACAAAAUUCACUUCAGGUCCUUAUUUGAAACAAUGGGUCCAUUUCGAGUCCUUAUAUGACACAAAGUUCACUUUUGGUCCUUAUUUGAGAAAAUAGAUUCACUUUGGAUCCUUAUUUGGAAUUUUCCCACUAUUUUUUGGUGAAAAUUCCAGCAGCAACGGCAGUGCUUACGUCAAAUGCCCAGAUUGACCAAACGUCCUCUGUUGACCAUACAGUCAACUAGUCGUCCUCUAUCACAGCUGCUAUAAACCAGGAUGAAUUCAAAGAGGAUUAUUUUGAAUUAAGGCGAGCUAUUUUCAUCCUCAAUACGAAUAAAUUCACUCCUUUUCUUCUCGAUAAACCAAAUCGGCUUUAGUGGUUUCCAUAUAUGCACAAUUUCAUUUAACUUCACUAUUUCCCUUUUGUGAUCUUCCGUUGAAGUCAAACUUAUGAUGUAAAGGUGGUUAGAAAAUAUCAAGCUUAGUUAACUAGCUAAUAGUCUUCAAAUUAAACAGACGUCACAUUAAAUAAACAUUGUUGAUCACAGAGGGCUUCUCAUACAUAUCCGGCAGGGCUUGCAUCAAAUCAGCAAUAGUCUUCUCCUUCAAGAUGUUAAACGCGACGUUACGAGCCAAUGUCAGCCGAAUAACACCCAUAGCUCGUCUAUCCAGCAAAUCUCAAUCAGCUUGCUUCAUCGUCUCUAGUUUCUCCCCAGAUAAAGGCAAGUGCAGUUUCAUCUGAUAAAGAUAAUCUUCAAUCUGCAUCUUCCGGAAACUAAAAUAAUUCCCAUCAAAUCUGUCGAUUCUCACUUUUACUUCUUCUGUCGCCAUCGAUUUGCUUCAACUUAGCCAAGCCUAGAUACCAAUUAUUACGAUAGGGCGAGCAAUCGAACAAUAAUAUAGACAGAAGAAGAAAAUAAAUCGGACACCAGAUUUACGUGAUUCGGUUGUAAAAACCUACGUCCACGGGGAGAGUAGCAACGAAUUUCACUAUAGAUCAAGCAAUACAAGGAGAUUACACACUCGAGUCACUUGAUAACUCUAUAAAAAUAGAGUUAUUUUACCUAUUUUAGGCAACAAUUAAUGCAUUAUCUAUGAGAAAAUAUUUGGAUUUCCUUCUGAUUAUUUAAAUUUUCCUUGUUUAUGCAGAAUAAUGAGAUAUGGAGAAGAUAAGGAAAAUAAUGGCAAUUAUCAGGAAUUCAAAUAAAAGCAGCAGUGGAAGAUAGAUAUCAAAUCAGGAAAUUCUUGAUUUUGUUCCCUAAUGUUAUCUGCAAGCGUUGGGAGAUAGAUAUCUUGGAUAUAUCCUAUAAAUAGAGACAGAGAGAGCAGCUAGGUUUUUUUUUAGGGAGAGGAGGAGUGAGAUCGUUUUCCAUUGUUCUGAGAGUUUUUUCAAGUAUUUUGAAGAGAAGACAAAAGUGGUGACAGAAUUCUUGUUCUUUGAUUCAAGAUGCUGGGUUUGAUUUAUAUUUAUAUUUUUUCUUCUACUAUGUUCUAAUUUUCUUUUGUUAGGGCUACGAUGUAACCUAACCAUGAUGAUGUGAAUUUCAUGAUUUUUAUGUUAUACAAUUGAUUUCAUUCAUGUGAGUUAUAUAUUAUUGCGUUUAAUGCUUUUGAGUGACUGGCCACCUCUUGAAUGAUCUGAUGUGCAUGUUUGAGACUGAGAGGUGAUAAUAUGCAAUUGCUCAUUAUGAUAUAUAACCAUGAAUUAAACGUGGAUAGAAAUAUACCGCGUUAUUUGUGUAGCUUUCGGUGAUAAGGCGAUCCAAAAGACUCGUUGUAAACCGGGAAUAUUCAUAGUUUUUAAUGUACUCAUGUUUAUUUUAAUUCACAUAGAGAUAUAGUGGAUUAAUAAGCUGAGUAGGUUUGCUAUACCUAGAGAUAGGAUAGUAAAUAGGUUAGGAAAUUCCACUAUCACAUGUUUGAUAUCGUUCUUGUAUUCACAAUAAUCUUAAAUUCAUAUCUAGUGGUUAUGGUGAAAUCGGAUGCUCUAACAUAUUUAUCUUAUUGAUUUUACUGCAUUUAGUCUUCAAAGUUUUCAAUUUUCGUUUUUAAUUUAUUCUUAAUUAUAUUUUGAUCUGUUAGAUAAAUUUUAGAAUUAAUCUAUUUUAGUAUUUAAUUAGUUUAUUAAUCAUCGAUCUCCGUGGGACGAUACUUUAUCUCAUCAUUAUAUUACUUGUUCGAUACGUAAACUUGCGUUUAGAAUUUUACGAACAAGUUUUUGGCGCCAUUGCCGGGGAUCGUUUGUUUAAUACUAAUUAAUAUUGAUACCAGAUAAUUCUAAAUUUAAUCUAGCUUUCGUUUUGUUUUAUUUUUCAGGGUGUACAUCAGUUUAUGACACGUAGCCAACAAGAGGAGCUUGUUGAGCUUGAUCCAGAAAUCGAGCGUACAUUCAAAAGGCGACUAAGAGAACAAAAAAAUCACGCUAAGAUGGCAGACGGUGAUAAUGAAAAUCCACGUAGACUCUUAAGAGAUUAUGCUGCGCCAACAGUUCAAGGCACCACAUCAAGUAUCAGAAGACCUGCAAUUCAAGAAAACAACUUUGAGAUUAAGCCGUCACUUAUUCAGAUGCUUUAACAAUCAGUGCAAUUCAGUGGGCUACCAAGCGAUGAUCCAAACGCUCAUAUCGAUGCUUUCUUGAAAUCUGUGACACCAUUAAAUAUAAUGGAGUUACAUAUGAUGCUAUUAAAUUAAGAUUAUUUCCAUUCUCUCUUAGAGAUAAAGCUAAGAGUUGGCUUUCUUCUCUUCCUGCAGGAUCAAUUACUACAUGGAAUGAUAUGGCUCAUAAAUUUCUUGGUAAGUUCUUUCCACCUGCAAAGUCUGCGAAGAUGCGUAACGAUAUUACUAAUUUUAUGCAGAUGGAUAAUGAAUCAUUAUAUGAAGCAUGGGAAAGAUUCAAAGAAUUUCUUAGGAGAUGCCCACAUCACGGACUACCCGUAUGGAUGCAGGUACAAACUUUUUAUAAUGGCUCUAGUGCAAAUCUUCGUUCUAUGAUUGAUGCAGCUGCAGGGGGGACUUUAAAUAAUAAAACACCAGAAGAAGCCUACAAUUUAUUAGAAGAGAUGGCGUCCAAUAAUUAUCAGUGGCCUACUAAGAGAUUACCAAUGCGAAAAGUUAGCGGAGUUCAUGAAGUGGAUGCUUUUGCUGCAAUUGCUGCACAAUUUGAAGCAAUCAACAAAAAGCUUGAUAAUAUGAGUGUUUCAGCCAUAAAAAUUCACACUUUGACAUGUGAUUUUUGUGGUGGGGGGACAUGUUAGCACAGAGUGUCAGGUAGGUAAUACUUUCAAACAAUCUCAUGAAAAUUCUAACUUUGUUGGGAAUUUUAACAGGUCACAGAAUAAUCCCUCCCCAACACAUACAAUCCGGGAUGGCGCAAUCAUCCAAAUUUUUCAUGGAACAAUCAGAAUGUGACGAGACCACCUGGAUUCAAACAAUCAGAAGAGACAAAGUCAAAUUUGGAAAAUAUAGUCACCAAACUUGCUAACACAACUCACGACUUCAUCAAAAGCACGGAUGUGAGAUUUCAAAACCAAGGGUUCUUUAGCAAGCAUGAUGUCAGGAAGGCAACAGGGUUCUUUACCGAGCAACACAGAGAAAAAUCCAAUUGAAAACAUAAAGGCUAUUACCCUGAGAAGUGGUAAACAAGUGGGAGAAGAAGAGAUUGUCAAAGACAAAGAAGAGGUGAUCAAUAAACAAUCAAAGGAGACAAGUAAGAGUAAACUUUUUCCAAAUAAUCCCAGGCCAUAUGUGCCACCAAUUCCAUUCCCUCAGCGACUCCAGCAGCACAAAAUAGAUAAGCAAUUUUCUAAAUUUCUUGAUGUAUUUAAAAAAUUGCACAUUAACAUUCCUUUUGCAGAUGCUUUAGCGCAAAUGCCUAGUUAUGCAAAAUUUUUGAAGGAAUUACACACAAAUCUUACCACAAGAUUAAUCGGCUACAAACGCUAAAUCUUCUUGGAUGUAAUUCACGGAUAAGAACGACAAAGAAAAUCCCUCCUAAGCACUCGACAACGAGACAGCGCUUCAAGACCAAUUCUUCAUGAUCAACCUUCUUCCAUCUACAGCCACAAGUCUAUAUAUAUAUAUAUAUAUAUAUAUAUAUAUAUAUAUAUAUAUACCCUUAUUCUUUUGCCGACUUCUCAUAGGAUUCUAUUUCCUAUCUUGCCCGAUUUUAUCCAAAACAUAUCUCUGUAUAUUUUAAACAAAAUCCAAGUCCAAGUCAAAGUUGAACUUUCCUAUUUCGGUGGCCAGACUCUCCAACGUAGAUUCAAAUUUUGGUGAGUUGAUCUUCGGAUCUUCUUUACUCGAUUUCAAACGUCCGCAAUAUAUCCAAUUCGGAAUAUUCGGAAUUUCACAUUAGGCUCAAACUCGAGACAUAUUUUAACAUAACCUCUGUUUUCGGUAAAUCUUUUGAGUUGUUAAUACUUUCCUUGUGGACAGAUGAAUCUUGAGUGAACGAACGAAUAGUCAUCAUAACUAUAGUAAUGUAUGAACCAAUGAUCCCAUUCCAAUCAAGAAUCAAAACUUACUCCACCCUAGGCCUAGCCACUACCUAGUUCCAUGCAACUGAAGACUGGAUCGGCCGAUUAAACGGCGCUCGACAAUUAACAAAACCAAAGUUACAGGCCAAAAAAUGUGAACUGGUGCAAAACCAUUGUUAUUUUACUAGCCAUGCUAGAUACCUGACAAAUAAAUGAACAUUCCACCCAGAAAGAGCACAAUGUAUCAUAAAAUGGAUAUGCAUCAUUGUCAACCUGCUCUUGAGUUGUCUCUUCCAAAAACCAGAGUUGUCGCCCAAUUCACCGUGACAUAGAAUCUAUUCCUCCAGCUAACUACCCUCGUGAGAUAAGCAGAACACCAAACCAGCCAACUCAUGAAUCGCACAUGCGAUAUUCCCUUUGUGUCUUGCAUAAAGAAUGUUUGCAUAAGUAACAGUUAUUAAUUCAGCGAAUUAUAAAAGUACGUGCACAUCAAAAUCUAGGUACUAGGAAAGAAAACCAUUAGUAUGUCAUGGUAGCAUGUUAUAUACCUUAGACUGGCAUAAAUCGACGAGCCCCUUGUAACGCCCCAUAGAAGCCAUGCUUCCCAAAUGUCUGUACACAAAUGGGUCUCCUAGAAGUAUGUCUUUUGAGCAAAAUGUUUUCCCUUCAUUUUGCUUCCCUAUCCUACGAAACAGCUCCUCCAAGAAUUUCCCUUCCCUUUCUGUGACCUAUUUCAGAAAUUAGUACUCAUGUUAUUUCCAAAGAAAGAAGGAAACAUAGCCUUUAUGCAACGAGAAAGCAAUAGUGAAUGACCACUUCUAAGUUCAAAUGGAAGGAUCAUGCCACUUCUUAUAUAGAGUAGAGCAAGGAAAUAAAGUUGAAGAUUAUAGAUCAAACCAAAAGCCACCAUGAGAUGUCUUUAAAGGAAUUAGACAGGGUGACUAAACCUAAGCUAAAGCAGGAAGCACCGGCCUCCCUCUCUGUUCAAGAAAACUCGCACAAUCUCCCAGCGCAAACACAUCUUCCACUAAAGGUACCCUCAACCAUUCGUCAACCCUGAUCCUAAAACAGUUGAGAGGACAAAUCAUUCGAUUGGAAGGUGGUGUGUCACGCCCUGAUCCUCGGGCGUGCGCCCAUCCCUUAACUGGUCGAUUUAUUUGCGACGUCCCAGGAAGGUCACCGACCCAUUCAUUUAUAUACGCAUGCGGAAGCUUAAUAAAAUCCCCAGACAAUCAAACAAUGAGAUAGAAAAGUACGAUCAUAUUUUUCAAACCAAGACGAGUCUUUAUAGACAAACUGGUUAAUUACAAACUUAGGCUGUUUACAAAAUUAACGGCUUGUCAAAAAGGGGACUGUCUUAACAUCCACUAGUCAAACCCAUUUGCCAAUUCUUCAACCUCCACCUUUCGAACUCCAGGCCUUUCGAUCCUCCACGAUCGUCAUCCAGGGACCUGAAAUAUUUUCCCCAAACCAGGAUGAGACUAUGUCUCAACAAGUUCUACCCCACUAAGACCCAAUUAGGAAGCCAAUACACCAUAAAGGCUGCCUAAGCACAACACAGGUCAAAGGGGCUUACCUUGGCAUCAGUUCCUUCCUGCACAUUAGUUCAAUUAAUAAUACUGAUAAUUACAGCAAUCAAUCACAUUCCACCAAUCAGAUCAACUCAGCGAUCAAUCGACUUAAUCGAUUACAUAUCACCACGACAUUUCCAUGGUCGGUACAUUCAAUACUAUUUAUAAAGUCCGACCAUAGUCUAUGAUUGCUCACCCAAAACUGAAAAUAGAUAGCAUAGCUCGCCCAAAGCUGAUAGAUAUAGUAUACUAUGUAUAUGCUCGUCCAAAGCUAAUAGAUUAGGGCCCCUAGGCCAAUUUAGUAAACUAUAAGUAUGUGCUCACCCAAAGCUGAUAAUAAGAUAUACUACUCACCCAAAGCUCACAUAUCGCCCGUAGGCUGAUAUAGUAUACCGGUAUACUGCUCACCCAAAGUUGACAUAUCGCACGUAGGCCAAUAUAGUAUACCACUCCAACCAUAUAGUCAAUUCAUCAUUUUUAUCAUUCACGAUAAAUAGCCGUGUGUGGGUACACGGUUAGCUUUAGCCAAAAAUAUAAUAAUUUUACUUACAAAUAUCCCACCAAUUUCAACAGUCCAUUACAUAUUUUUGGCGUUGUAAACUGACGCCUAGUUAUUUUUCCAUUAAUAACCAAAAUCAGAUCAUUUAGGAAUAAAUCCUAAAUUCACAAUUGAUUCAAUUCACCACAAAUUAACGCUCAAAUAAAUAAACGGACUGCACCACAAUAAUCAGCACAGAAUUUCGGUCAUCGGCCAUCUCAAUCUUAAUUUCCGAAAUUUAAUUAAUCAAUUAAUUAAUUAAUUAAUUUCGAAAAUUAAUAAUUAAUUACAAUAAAUUCAAUUUAGCUCAAAUCAAAGCUCAAUUAAAUAAACGGACUUCACCACGAUCAUCAACAUAAAAUUCCGGUCACCGACUAUCCCGAUCAAAAUUUCCAGAAAAUAAUAAAUAAUUAAAUUUAUUCCGAGAAUUAAAUAAAUAAUAUUAUAUUAUAAUAAUAUAAAUUCGAAAUAAUUAUUUAAUCCAAAAUAAUUAAUUAAGGCUUAAACAAGAUUACUUUAAUCCAAACAUUUACUUAGCCUUAAUUAAUUAUCCACUAAACUAAUUACAUCCCUUAAUCCACUUAACAUUUAAAUAAACUAAUCUAAUCACCUAAAUUUACUUAGUUUAAUCUAAACACCCCUUAAACGUGAUUAACCUACUAAGCGGGGAUUAGUGAGUUAAACUCACCCGAUUAGCGAUCCGAGCGGCUCAAAUCGACGAGGACGCCGAGGGGAUUGAUUCACUCCAAGGCGGGCCUAGCUUCUGGGGUCGGGAAGCCGACCAAAACGAGCCAAACGCCCGUUGCCAUACCCAUUUUUCCAGCUGCUGUCCGCUGCUGGUUGAGGCCGAGAAAGGGGUAGAUCCGAGUUCGGUUGGGGCAUGCAAGGGCCAAGAGGGGGUUGAGGCAGUCUCGGUGGGUUGAGGCGGAGGUGUACGGCGGCGGAGGGAGCUCCAACGAUGGCCCACAACAGCUGGGACGAGCUGAACAGCUCGCUGGAAUGUGCGUACCGAGACAGACGAGGACAGCUGGGCGUCAGCCAAGCACAGCCGAGUGAGGAGCAACGGCUAUGUGCAGGAUGGCGAGCGGCGACGGUGGCGGCGUGUGGCGGCUCCAAGCGACGUGCGGCUUCUUUGGCUUGUUGGGUUUCAUCGAGCAGCAACCAGAGAUGGAGGAAAGAGGGAUAACGGCGACACAGGGGAAAAGAGAGAGGCGGAGGUGCGACUGCUCCGACCAAACUAGGAGGCCAUAUGGAACAUCUGUACCAUCACUAGGAGGCCAUAUCAAGUGACUUGAUAAACUCUGAGGGUCCAACGCCGAUGGACCAGACUAGGAGGCCAUAUGGAACAUCCGUACCAUCACUCAAUACAAUUUUCUUUACAUUCACCUCUUUCACCACGCCUCUUUUAAGACAAACACUAGAUUAGCAUUGAAAGCAUUAAAUCAGCACCAAACUGAACAAGUUCAAUACCAAAACUUGGCACAAACAAAUACUUAAGUACCAAAAGUUAGGAAAGUGACAUUUAUGACACGUUUGGUAACGAUUCUGUUCCCUGGAGUAGAUUCUGAUAAAAAAAUUAUUCUUUUUUAUUAUGUUCCCGGGAAUAAAUUCCAAGCAUUUUAAGCCGUUUGAUAACUAUACAAAAUUUCUGAUUCUGGAAUAGAAUUACGUUUGGUACCAUACUCAUUAAUUCUAUUCCAAAUCAAUUUCUUUUAAUUUUUACUUUUUUCCUUUUUUUUCUUUUCUUUUUUCCUUUAUUUUUCUUUUCUUUUUUCCUUUUUUCUUUUUUUUUUCAUUUUUCUCCUAUUAUUCUUCCUCUUCUUGUGGCCAGUCGCCGGACUGGCAAUCGGCCAAACGAGGGCCGGCGACCUCAUCGAAGCAUCACUGGCCCUUGGCAAGGCCGACCCUCGUCGGUCGAGCCUUGCCAGUGGCCAAGCCAACCUCGCCAGGGCUGGGCGAGGCCCGCCUAGCCACCGGCAGGGCUGGGCGUCACGAGCUUCAUCGAUGGCCCAGCGAGGCUAGGCGAUCCUCGUCAGGGCUAGGCAGGUGUUGCCCAACCUCGACAAGGCUCGCCUGGCCACCAGCAAGCUCACCGGACCUCGCCCUAGCCUCCGGUGAGCUCGCCGAACCGACGGACGGCAUCAGAUGCUGGUGGGCGGUGGUGGACAACGAUCGCGGGAUGGCGGAAGGGAAGAAGAAAAAGAGUUGGUUUUAAUUCUCAAAUUUGUUCCCGGAACAAAAAUCAACUUUUUUUUUAUUCGUGAUUCCACUCCAAAUCUGUUCUCGGAAACAAAAAUUUUACCAAACGCAAUUAUGUUUCCAAACUGAUCCCGGAAACAAAAAAUCAGAAUCUGCCACUAUUUGGCACGUUGCCAAACAACCCCUUAAGUGCCAAAAUCAGAGCAAAAUAGAUUACUUAAGUGCCAACAACAAGAAAAUCCAGCCAAAAAUGAUGAUGUGGUGAUUUUCCGGCAAAGUAAGUGCAAAACGGUGUCGUUUUGUACACUAACGUGGCUAGACAAAUGCAAAAAUAACGCCGUUUUGCUACUGACGUAGGAAAAAAUUAAUAUGAAGAUUAAUUUAAUUAAAUUUAACACUAAAUUUAUUUAAAACAUUUUUAAAGAAAAGCCAAUGGAGGAAGAAAGCCGCCGAGGGCUGAGCCCUCACUGCUGCCGCCUCCUCCUCACUGCCGCCAGGAAGGGCUGACAACGAUGGGUGGAGGGUCGGCCGGGGUCGCCGAACCCUAGCCAAGGGCCAGUGACCCCAGCCGACCGGCGGCAAGGGCCCGCGGCCCUCCCCUAGAUCCAGGGCAAGGGUUGGCGGCCCUCGCCCGGCGGGCCAAAGCGGGAAGCACUAGCCUCCCUAGAUCUAGGGACACUUUUGAAAGAAGAAAAGAAAAAUGAAUUCACGAGUACUUCUCUGAAAAUUUCUUCUUUUCCAUUUGCAAGCUCCCAACAGCACCUCAUGUUCUUCUCAGGUUGCCCCGAACAAUUCUUGCAAAUGCCAUAGAGUAAAACACUAAUAAUUCAAAUGCAAGUCAAUAGCCUGUAUCUUUAGGCCUAUUGAUGAAAUUGCACUUGAGAAAAAAGAGAGGCUUGGGCUUAAUGCUAUAAGAAAAGCAGAAAGACAUAGAGAAAGAUUAUGCAAUCACUCCAUGAUAGCAGGAGGAGGUAAAGACAACAUGUAGAAGAAUUGGAGUUUGGUCCAAUCGAAAUGAAGACGAGUAAUUGGUGUGUGACAACUAUUUCUUCAAUGACUACUGGGACAAAAACCAAAAGCCAACUUAGCUUGGGUCAUCAACUGAUGGCACGUACAAUGAGAAAAUUUAUUGUGGUUUUUUAUAAGCCAAUAAAAGACAACAAAAAAUGCAUAUAUUUCUAGGGGCAAAAAAAGGCUUCAAGUGCCAUAACUUUGGCCAAAGGGACAGUUAAGUGUCAUAACUUACGAAAUGUACACUUAAGUGCCACAUUCGAAGAAAAACGGAUCACUUAAGUGCCACUCUGGCCAAAGUCCGACCAAAACGCUAACGUGGCAUUUUUCCGGCAAAGCGCGCCCAAAACAACACCGUUUUGCACGCUGACAUGGCGAAAUAAUGCAAAAACAGCAUCAUUUUGGGCUGACAUGGUAAAAAAAAAUUAAUUAAUUAAUUAAUUAAUUAAUUAAAUUUAGUUAAAAUAUUAAAAAAAUAAUUUUAAAAUUAAAUUUAGUUAAAAUAUUAAAAAAUAAUAAUUAAAAAAUUUUAAAAAAACUCUAAAAAACUUUAAAAAAUUUAAACAAAAUUCAAAAAAAAAAAAAAGGGAACGAGGGGGAGGCGGCUGAGGGAUCANNNNNNNNNNNNNNNNNNNNNNNNNNNNNNNNNNNNNNNNNNNNNNNNNNNNNNNNNNNNNNNNNNNNNNNNNNNNNNNNNNNNNNNNNNNNNNNNNNNNAAUUCAUAUGGGACUGCUUUGGACUAUGCAUGAACUCACUAAGAGUUUGGACUACGCAACAAAUAUCAAGUCUAGUCAUGCUCAAAUAUAUAAGUUUCUCAAUGAGCUUCUAAUAACUCCACGGAUCUCGAAGUAUAGGAUCAUCAUCUUGAGAUAUUCCCACAUCGUAAUCUGUCGUAGUUAACUUUGUGUUUUGCUUAAUUGGAAUAAUAGCAGGUUUGCAUCUUGAUAGACUUUCUUUAGAUACAAUCUCUAGUACAAACUUUUGUUGGCUGAGAGGAAUCCCUCGACUCCUUAAAGCUCUUUAUGGCAAUUAUGUCAUUUCCCAUAAUAAGUAUACCAUCAAAAUAUAUCAUCAAGAAGAUGGAUGACAUACAUUUUGUCCAUGUGAAUAAGGCAUAAUCAUAUAUGGAUUGGCCGAAACCUACAGCCACAAGAGCAUUGGCAAAUUUGGCAUACCAUUGCCAAGAGGCCUCUUUGAGGCCAUAAAGGGAUUUCCGGAGAUGACAUACCCUAUUCUCCCCUUGUCUCUGUAAUCUUUGAGGAAGUUCCAUAUAAAUUUCCUCAUCCAAAUCACCAUGAAGGAAAGCAUUAUUGACAUCCAUUUGGUGUAAUUCCCAAUCAUGAAGAGUUGCAACUGAUAAGAAAGAACAAACUGUGACGUCCUUGGCCACUAGAGAAAAGGUAUUAUGAUAGUCAAAACCUCCUCGUUGUGUGAAACAUUUAGCCACCAAUCGAGUUUUGUAACAUUCAAUAGAGCCAUCUACUUGAUACUUGAUUUUGUACACCCACUUGCAUCCAAUUGGCUUUCGGUGAGUGCUCCCAUGUUUGAUUUUCUACUAAGGCCUAUAAUUCAGCUUCCAUAGCUUUUUUUCCAUCGUGGAUCGGUGGAUGCCUCAUCAUAAUUAGAGGGUUCUUGUUCUUCUGAUAUACAGCCGAUGCAACACCUAUGUUCUAGAGAAAGUUGAUCGAAAGAAACAUAGGAUAAGAUUAGGUAUUAAUACUUGUGAGUUGAAUGCAGCACAAGACAUAGUCUUUAGUCCNNNNNNNNNNNNNNNNNNNNNNNNNNNNNNNNNNNNNNNNNNNNNNNNNNNNNNNNNNNNNNNNNNNNNNNNNNNNNNNNNNNNNNNNNNNNNNNNNNNNNNNNNNNNNNNNNNNNNNNNNNNNNNNNNNNNNNNNNNNNNNNNNNNNNNNNNNNNNNNNNNNNNNNNNNNNNNNNNNNNNNNNNNNNNNNNNNNNNNNNNNNNNNNNNNNNNNNNNNNNNNNNNNNNNNNNNNNNNNNNNNNNNNNNNNNNNNNNNNNNNNNNNNNNNNNNNNNNNNNNNNNNNNNNNNNNNNNNNNNNNNNNNNNNNNNNNNNNNNNNNNNNNNNNNNNNNNNNNNNNNNNNNNNNNNNNNNNNNNNNNNNNNNNNNNNNNNNNNNNNNNNNGGAUAUCUCAUAAAUAUACUACUCUGGGUGUGGGGACCCAUUUCAUCUGUCAAGGAUUCGAGUGGGCAUGCGAUUGAUCAAGUAAGUAGCCCUGACCACACAAUCUCCCUAAAAGGUUUCUGGAAUGGAGGCUUGGAAUUUCAGUGCACAUGCAACUUCCAAAAAAUGGCAAUGUUUGUGUUCCACUAUCCCAUUUUACUGCGAGGUGUAGGUCCAGGAACUCUCAUGUAGGAUGCCAUGAGAUGAGAAAAUAGAGGGACAAUGAUUGUUGAAAAAUUAUUUCCCAUUAUCAAUGUGAAUGCGCUAAAUAGAAUUUCUCAAAUUGGUUCUUUGAUAAGGAAAUGAAUAAUAUUAAAUGGGAGAAAGCUUGAUGUUUUGACUGCAUCAGGAUAACCCAUGUGGCACGAGAGUAAUCGUCCACAAUUGUCAGGAAAAAACAAGACACAUCACGAUGUGGUGUGUGAUAAGAUCCCCGAAUAUCAACAUGAAUUAAUGAAAAAAAAAACAUCACUAGCACGAGUCUUGCUAAAUGGAAAUGGAACAUGUGACUACUUUGCAAGCGGACAAAUAUGGCAUUGAGGAUAAGAAAAUAAAGCACUAUGGCCCAUUCUAGAAUGUAUGAGAAAAUUUCUAUCAUUGGUAGUCAAGUUACACAAUGAUUGUUUAUUCAAGGAAAUGCAAGACAAAUCUAAAGUGCUUGGAAAGCUAAUCCAAAAAAUAGCCCUUCAGAGAAACUACCCAAGCCCAUUAAUUUACUAGUCGAAAGGGCCUGAAAGAAAUAAGUAUCGAAAUCAAAGAGGACCAGGCAUGAUUUUUUUUUUUUUUUUUUUUUGCAAACUUUAGAUAUGGAAAUAAGGUUGAAUUGGAAUUCGGGGACAUAAAGGACAUUUUGUAGAGUGAUUUGGGAACUGAGAUUUAAUGUGCCCAUCAUUGUGACAUGAGUAACAUUUCCAUUUGGCAGUCGCACAAAAAUAGGCAAAUGUAAUUUUUCAUGGAUAACGGAAAAUAAAAUUUUAUCGCAAAUAAUGUGAUCACUGGCUUCUAAAUCAAUUAUCCAAGCAUUUCUCGAAAUAUAAUAUAUCAAGCAAUGAGAAAUACUUGAGAAAUUUCCCCUUUUGUUGGAAGUGCCCAAAUUCUAUAAUGCUUGCAUAAGCUACUGAUAUUGUCCAUACAUGAUGGGCUAAUUAGCAUUUGGACCAGUUGACCUAGUGACCUGGUAAGCAGCUAAAAUUUCUUUUUUCCUUCUUUCCCUUCUCUCUGGGUUUACCAUGCAAUUUCCAGCAAUUAUCGAUAGUGUGAUGCGGACGUUUGCAAUAUUCACAAAAUAAUUUACCUUUUCCCUUUGAGUUCUACCUAAAAUUCUUGGAUGACGUCGCAAAGAUCUAGCCAUUGGAUGCCUUAAUUCUGCUGCCGUAUCUACCAUCCUAUUCUGGAGAAGGAUCGCCAACCAUAAGCAGUCUAAUCUUUAGGUGCGAUCUGAGCUGUCCAUGGCUUGCCUUUUAUGGGUUCUUGUUUCAGCAAACCCUAAUGCCGCACCCUUUCCUUCAUUUAGGUUUUUGCACACAACCUCUCUCCAUUCACGGUGAGCUGCGAGCACGAUCCUAUCGGCUCCUUUUGCAUACUCCGACGAAGUAAGCCAUUGGCUUUCUUCCUGAACGGACAACUGGUAUAUUUUUCUGAGCGACAAUACCGAAUCCAUCACCAAGGUUUGAAAUUGGAACGUCAAGAAAAAUUCAUUCAAAAUCAAAAGGAAUCUUGUUGCCUUCUCUCUUUCUUUCAUCGCUUUGUACUGCUAUAGAGUUGUCUUGGUUCCCUCGAGCUUCUCCUCUGCUACCUCCAAUUCAUUCCAAAGAGAUAAUAGCUUUUUGAAGCAUGUCGUAAUAGACAUGUUUCCUUGCUUCAGAUAUGAGAGUGCUUGGGUGAGAGAGAAGAUUUUUACUUGGUCUAACUUCCCACACAUCUCAUUUAUGUCAUCCCACAUGAUUUUUGAGUCCUCUGUGGGAGGUAAGCAGCAAGGACGUUGCAGGGCACGAAGGGCGUGACCAGAAGAUGGACUAGGCUUAUUAGAGACUGCAGUUGUAGCAGCGGUUCGCGUGUGAGGAUGCGGAGGCAACGACUCUGCGACAGUGAGAAGCAGUGGCGGGUCGUCAUCCGAAGGCAGGAGGUGCGGUGCAGCAGCUUACGUUGGACUCGGGUAGUCGGCAUAGCAAGCGAAGCAGCGACUCGUCGCGAGUGGCUCGGUCAUAGUAGCAACAAGCUUCGCCGUCAGCGAGGAAAGAACGCCCGUCGGCCAGUAGGAAGAGGUGCCAAGGAAGGGGAUAACAGCAGGACUGUCACAGCCAUCGUCCUGGAAGAAAACGGCCAGGGGUGUCUCGGUCGAGGGGCUGGCCGAGAACCUCACUUCCACUCUCUCUCCAAUCACGUCUCGGCACAAUCUCUUUCGGCUCCGUUUAUAGAAAAUGCAGCAUUUUUGGAAAAUAUUUUUAGAAAAUUAGUUUUAAAAAAUGUAAAUAUUUUUCAGUGUUCAGAUGAAAUAUGAAAAUGAAGCGAAAGAUAUUUUACGUUAUUUGGUAAAUAAAAUCCUUUUUGCUAUACACUCAUUUUCAAUAAUUAUUAUAUUUUUAUUUUUAUUUUGUUAAAAAUGUAAAUAUUUUUUUGUUAUCUUUUAUCUUUAAAAAUCGAUUUUUAUUUCUUUAAAGAAAGUGGUUAUUAAUUUUUUUUCUUUCUUUUUCUUUUCUUUGUUUUCUUCUUCUUCUUUAGUCGAUCUUCGGCCCCAUCGAUGGCUAGCGACUAGCCACAAGCAAGCCUCCAGCUCAUUGGCUAGCAUGAGGCUCACCCACCUCUAGUGAGCUCAGGCUCGCCACUCACUAGAUGCAUUAAAGCCAAGGCUCGCUCGAUCGGCAGGUGAGAGCCUUUGGCUCAUCGAUUUGGCAAGGCUUGAGGCAAGCAAGCUCAAGGCUCGCCAAAUCGAUAAGUAGAGUCUCGCCACAAGCUCGAGCUCACCGAUUAUAGGCCUUUCCAAAUUUGGGAGCUCCGAGAUUGCCAGCCUCAAGCCUUGCUAGAUUGGCAAGCCUUGAGCUUGACACUUGUGCUCGCCAAUCUAGCAAGUGACGAGCCUAAGCUUGCAUGUGGCUAGUGAUUGGCCAAGAAAGAAGAAAAGGAAAACAAAGGAGAGAAAAAGAAAAAAAGAAAAGAAAAAUAAUAAUAAUUUGAAUAUUUUAAAAUAUGUAUAUAAAGAAGUGAGGGUUUAUAGGGGCGCAAAAUAAAAGAGAGCAAGUGGGAAAAAUGUUUUCCACUUUUCGAAAAUAAAUAACAUUUUUCCUUUUUUAGAAGACUUUUUUUUUUGCCUUAUUGGAAUAUGUUUUCACCAAACAAUUCAUUUUCCUUAAAACGAAUGCCGGAAAAUCUGGAAAAUGUAAACGAACUAAGCCUAAAUUUUAUUUUAUUUACCUUCUUUUUUACUCAUGACCAUGGACUUGUGAGAUUUUCCUUGACAACGCACUCUUUCUUGUUUUAAAAUAAGAAAUAUAUUACUCAAUAUGGCCCUCGUUGACUAAUCAUCUCCUUGCAAUCUAUAUAUAAUCUAUAUAUAUUUUCCUUGCAUGGAGAGACAAACUUGCAAAUCUUCCUUUUUUGUCCUUUAUUUCUUUCCCGCAACUAAAGGAUUCGGCCUCCUUCAUAUAUCAUUCGCAUGCCAAUUCUAAAUCCUUUUGCACAUAAUUUCAGCCAUCAAAGGAAUAAUGGGCUUGGUCAAUUUCUCUCUCAUCAUGGGCUUAAUCCAACUUGCAAAAUUAAAGCCUAGAACCAUUAAUUCAAACUUUCCGCUAGUCCAACACAAAUGCAAUGGUCAAAAAUUAUAAACUAAACAAUAAAUACUCCUAAAACUAUGUUCUAUGCAAUUUAAUUAUAAUAUUUUUGUUUAGGCAUUAAAAAUUAAUUCCUUAGUUUCUAUGCAAUAAUGGAUGACUGGGUUGCCACAAUGACUUCUACUACUAAGUUGAGUAACUAAAAAGAGAUUGUAAUUAAAAUUAGGGACAUGAUAGUUAGGAGAUAACAACAAAGAUCGAGAAUCAAUACGUAAAAAGGUUUUAUCAACUUAAAAGGCAAUAAAUGACCACUACCAACUAAGACUUUUGUCAAAUCAUAAAAGGGUCUAGAAUUUAGAAUUAUAAGAUACCACGUUGGAUCAUAGGUUUCAUUAAUCGAGAAAGUUGAGAAGGAGUUCGACAAAUCGGUGUGUCCUACCCCAUUAUAGAUCAAACAAGUAAGAUGAGACCUAGAUCCAAGAUUGCCUCCCUGUGUGAAUGGGGGAUGAUAGGGCUUCGAACCACCACGAGAUCAACUAGAGAAGAUGGAGGAUGAUCAUCAACGGGGUCGAUACUGAUUGUGAACAAAACCGAUCAUUGGAAAAUCACCAACUCGGUUGACCACUCAAAAACCAUUCACCUUUCCUGUCCGUAUAUUUGGCCUCUAGAAUUAUGUCCACCUUGAGAUCCUCAAAACAAGGGGUUAAAUGAAGUGGCGUGACUAAUCAAAGCAUGAUAAAUAUCGGAUAAAGAUGAUGCAUUCAAAUUUCCAGGAAAAUCAUUCCUCUUAGAUGAGAACGAAGAAGAAUUAUAGAGCCAUUUGUGACCAUGGUGAAAAAAGGAUCAUGCUCACACGGAGCAGUUGAUUACAUUGAGAGAGCUCGCAAUUGACUUAAGAUGUCAAAAAUAAUCAGACAUGGACUAAUCGGGUUUCUUGACAUUGUUAUGAAAGUCAAGCUUUUGUCCAAUUUCCCUAGCCGCCCAGCAUUCAAUAAAGUGCUGUCCUAGAGCAGCCCGAAUCUCCAAAAUGUCCAAAGGUCAUGAACUUCAUAGAAAAUCUCGAUUAUGAGAGUCGAAUUGAUCAAACUACAAACACAUUGAUUUGUCAUGACUCAAGUGGAAUAGGAGGUAUUAACCACCACAGUCCCAUUAUGGUCAUUGAUAAGCUUCAACUGACAUGGAAAGAGCAUCCACUUAGACCAUCAAAUAAUUGCAAAUUAGAAUAGCUUCGAAUUGAUAUUUCCAUAAAUUGAGAUUUCCACAAAAGGUAAUUUUCAGCAUCGAGUUUGAUGGAGUCAAGACUUGUGAUGGUGAGAAGAAUGAGAGAUGGUGAGGAUGAUUGCAUAGUUGUGAUUUGAGCGGCAACAGCAAGAUCGGAGCAAUGGAGAAGAGGAAGAAGAGGUGAAAAGGGACGCAAUGUUAUUAAGAGGUAAUGGGAAAUUGGGAUUAACAAAAAAAGAAGAUGAUAGGUAAAGAGAUAAUAGAGAAAAAUAACAAUCUGGAGAUGUAUUGGAUAUGUUGAGAUAGUAAUUGAAGCAAAGGAAGUUUGAUUAGGGGCAAAGAAGUUGAAUAUUUUGAUAUGUUUUCCCAAACAGAUACCAUGCUGAUAUUUAGAAUUAGAGAAAAAAUAACGAUAAACGAACAUAACAAGAAGAUGAUAGGUAAAGAGAUAUCAGAGAAAAAGAACAAUUUGGAGAUGUAUUGGAUAUGUUGAGAUAAUAAUUGAAGCAAAGGAAGUUUUUUUUUUUUUUUUUUUGUCGGUCAAGCAAAGGAAGUUUGAUUUGGGGCAAAGGAAGUUUGAUUUGGGGUAAAGAUGUUGAAAAUUUUGAUAUGUUUUCCUAAAUAGAAUAAGAGAGAAAAUAACGGUAAAGUGCUUGUGGUGGCUUAUCUCCAAUUAAAAUUAUAUCACAUGUAUUUAUAAGAGUGACUAAUUACAGUUUGGACAUAAAUAGAGACAUAAUUAAUAUAUAUAUAUAUAUAUAUAAAUUACACAUUAAUAGUUAAUGCACCUAAAGUGCUCUUUGAUUUGUUUACGUAACAAUGUAGGGAUAGGUUGUACCUAUUGUUGUGUUUUGUGUCUUGAUUUUAGCCAAACUUAAAAAGAUUUGACCCAAAUCUAAUCCCCACGAUGCAACUGAUCAUCAUAUGAAAAGAUCCAUAAGAAUUACAAAAAUGAAAAACAAGUGCAACCCUGAGAUAAAUAAUACCAUUAACUUUUGUGUUAUGCAUUGCAAUAAAUUUCAUCAUCAAUUCUUAAACGAAAUAGAAGACGAAAACCCAUUUGCAACUCCAUAAUUAGAGGGAGCUUUCGGAUUCACAUGAAGGCAAAGAGGAUACACCAGGAAGCUUCCCACAAUCAUAUCCUAUAAAACCAUUCACUACUCUACCCAAGAGGAGCCCAUAGAAUACGACAUCUCUUAGGAACCUCAUGAAUUGACUAGACCCAUCUUGUUGCACCCAUCCCGACAAGUACGAUGUUGUUAUCAGUGUCGCCGCCCUCGGUCUCCUCUCCUUUGCGUACCUUCCAAUAGCAAAUCCGAUAUCUCUGGUCACCAGUUUGCCGUGCUUGGCAAUUGAGUCCCUGAGGUGCCUACCCAAUGCCACCGCAUCCUCGAGAGCCAAACGCCCCCCUAGCCCAAGUCGGGAGUCAUCGGUUGCAUUGUCUCCAACCACCGUGACAUUUGAUCGGACUAGGUUUCCAAACAAAAUGUCCCAAGGAUGUCGGAACAUCAGUGGCGCCCAUGUCAAACUCAAAAGAUCGGAGUGCUUGACGACAUCGAGGUACACGGGUUGGAAGUCCUUUGCCAAAUUUUCCAUCACCUUCCUUUGUAUCAUUUCUGGAUCUGCUCCUUUUUCCAUACCUUUAUGAAUGGAAACGUUAGGGAUCAAGGAGGAUUAGUAAGCUACUAUUGAAGGAGCCAUCGUAACCUCAGCGGAAGAUAAAGUGGAAUAUAUAUGGUACCUUUAGGAGGACACACCUCUAUGAAGAACCAGAACACUUCCUUAUCAUUGAGAGCAAUAAAAACCUGCCCUCUUGCCCACAUUCACAAAAUGUUGAAACACAUGGCCAUGGUCAAAACCAUGACCCUUUGGGAAUACGGACAACCACGUACUGCCGACCGGCCUGAAUAGAUUGGCGGGCAAAGUCCAAGCCAAUGGGCCAAGAUAGAGUGCACGUCAUCGUAUCCUAUAACAACCUACAUGUAUAGUACUUACAGUGUGGAUAAGUUAACCUCAUCAUAUUUGAAUUCAAAAGAAGGUUCUCUAGAAAUUGUAGGGACAAGCUCAUGCUUGGCAGCGUCAAUUCCAGUGCAGGAAGCCAAAUAGAAGUACGAAUUGGAGUUGCCGCAAGAGCAGGCUGUAUCCGGUUCACGUGCUCUGCGACAGAACGGAACUCCAAAGUUCCAACACAUGUCGAUGGAAGAAGGGGAGUGAAAACCAUGUGAUUUCGGGGGGAAACGCACACGAUAUCAUAUAUGCUCAUAUCAAGCCCCUUCAUAAACAGGCAAGCCGCCCAACCGGUACCAAGAACGACCACCCUUGGCUUUUCUCCAGGCUUAGUCGGUUCAAGACCUGGAUAUCUGUCCCUCUCAUAUUCAGAAUCGGACUCUGCCAAUGCCCUCUCGCGACGGGAAAUUGAUCAAGUGGGGUUGUCCUAAUUCCUCUGCUCCAGUUACUAGCAUAAUCUAACUUACUCGAUGGUAAGCGGUCGAAAAAUCCCUUCUCAUGGGGAAACUUUUGAAAGAAGAAAAGGAAAAUGAAUUCGCGAGUAGUACUCUAAAAUUUCUUCUUUUCCAUCUGCAAGGCUCCCAACAGCACCUCCUGUUCUUCUCAGGUUGCCCCAAACAAUUCUUGCAAAUGCCAUAGAGCAAAACACUAAAAAUUCAAAUGCAAGUCAAUAGCCUGGAUCUUUAGGCCUAUUGAUGAAAUUGCACCUGAGAGAAAAGAGAGGCUUGGGCUUAAUGCUAUAAGAAAAGCAGAAAGAUGUAGAGAAAGAUUAUGCAAUCACUCCAUGAUAUCAGGAGGAGGUAAAGACAACAUGUAGAACAAUUGGAGUUUGGUCCAAGCAAAAUGAAGACAACUAAUUGGUGUGUGACAACUAUUUCUUUAAUGACUUCUGAGACAAAAACAAGAAGCCAACUUAGCUUGAGGCUUGGGCUUAACCACCGUCUUCGCCCACUUCUCCUCUGGCCUCCAUAGCCUCUGCCCGCCUCCUCCCUGUCCAACUCCUCCCACGCCCCCUGCGCCGGUGGAGGUCGAGGCCCCCCGCCGCAUGGACAACCCGCGCCACCACCUCGCCCGCUGCCUCUGCCGACCACUUGGAUUCAACACCUAAGACUUGAGCUCGAAUGACGGAGGACCGAGACGGCAGUGAGGCGGUGGUGGAAGGCGAUUCACGGGGGUUAAAGUUGACGACAAGUCUGAGUUGAUGUAUGUCUGUUGUCGUGAAGAGAAAAAAAAAUAAAAAGAAAAAAAAUCAAAGGGAGAAAGGAUGCAGGGGCUUCUGGUGGGUGGGUCCGAAUGUGACUGUGCCAUUUUGGCGGUCACAAAUCAAUUAAAUUCUUGAAACUCACUCAUAUCGGGGUAUAAACUUUAUUUUUCACAUACAUCAUAUAAAAUACACGUAUUUAGGGUUUCGUAUGCAUUUUCACAUCUAUAAAAUCAUCAAACAUAUAAAUAAAUACACCACAACAUAGAGAAUAAUCAUACGAACCAGUAGCCGCAAACCGUGCGCCCGCACGAGCCGCCUGAGUGCACGACGCAUGGAGCACACGCGCGACCAUAAAGACCCCUCAGAUCCAGUCCGACCAGUUCCUGGCUCGACCGUCCGGUCCAACCGUCUGAUCCAAUCGGUUGACCGGUUUGGUCCACGGUUGACUAGUUCGGGCGGGUCAAUGGGUCGUGUCAGCCCCAAGGUCGUUGACGACAUUGUGACAACCGCCCUUGUGCGUGCAACACACGCAUGAGCGGCGCCUGCGCGUGGGUCGGAUAUUGAAUGGUUUUGGAUAGGAUUGACGUGGCAUUACUCGUGCACUUGAAUGGCCUGAAACGACGAAGAAAUGGUAAGACAAUGGAGGAAAAUCAAAGGAAGCAGGGGGAGGGAGCAAGAGAUAGAUCGAUCUUGGAUCGUCGGGUUAGAAAAGAAAGAAAAGAAAAAAAAAAAUCCUCUAAUGUUAAAUUUCUCCUUUUUUUCAAAAUGUUAAAUUAAAUCUCGAUAUCACAUGAAAUUUUAUGAAAAGAAAUUAUGAAUUUAAACUCGAUGGUUUGCCUCACGACAAUCGAAGGAGUUUUCCUCGUGACUUGGUAACAGGCGCUCCAAAGGGCCAAGUAUCAAGACCAAGCAUGCAUGGAAAGUCAUCUUUUUUUCUCAAGAUUAUUUUAUUUGCUUAUACUGUCAAAGAAAAUACAAUGUAUGACUUGCUGUAUUUUAGUGCACCGUUCAUGAAAAAAAAAAGUGGGAAAUCUCUUUUUGUUUGAAACUUAAAGAAGAAGGUCAAGGGUGAACAAGUUAUAUUUGGUUAGCCUUUAUUUAAAUUUCACGUAAUUAUAAAUAAAAAAAAAAGAUCUUGAAACCAAAUGAAAUAUAAUUAUCGAAUUGCUACUUUAAAAAAAAAAGGAAUCACGCGAAGAAAGAAAAGUCCAUGUUUGCAAACGUCUGUGCUCUUGCGUUUCGCCUUCUGCACAAGAAGGUCCGGAGGGCGGCGCCCAGGACGCCAAGAGACCAUUAAGCCCUCGGCUCUUCACCUCGGCCAAGAAGUCAAGGGGAGGGUAAUUAUGGGAUUUCUCCUCCUGAUUCCUCCCCCCGGCCCCCAAAAAGUAAAAAACAAUCACGAGGUCAAAAGUGGGGAAGACAAUAAUGUUUGACGGCGGCGCUUGGUUGGAAUUUAAGAAAAAGCUAUUCGGUCUGCCAAUGACAGAAGGCACUUCAAUCCAACGAAUCUUGUUACUUAAUUAUAAUUUUUAUUAAAUACAUCAAGAAAAGUACAGUAUUAAUUGAGAAUCCGCAUAUCCACCACACUAUCAAAUAAAUAUCAACCCAAACUUAAAAAGAUCCUACCCAAACCUAAUCCUAUGAUGCUCUUGAUCAUCAAGUGAAAAGAUUCAUACAAAAUAAAUAAAAAAUAAAAAAAACAAGUGCAACCCUGAGACAAUCAAUACGAUGAACUUUUGUGUUAUGCAUUGCAAUGAAUUUCAUCAUCGAUUAUUAAAUAAAAUAGAAGACCAAAAUCCGAUUGCAACUCCAUAACUAGAUGGAGCUUUCAGAUUCACAUUAAGGCAAAGGGGAGACACCAUGAAGCUUCCCACAAUCAUAUUUUGCAAUACCUUUCACCACUCUACCCAAGAGGAACCCAUAGAAUACAUCUCUUAGGAACCUCAUGAAUCGAUUAGACCCAUCUUGUUGCACCCAUCCCGACAAGUACGAUGCUGUUAUCAGUGUCGCCACCCUCAAUCUCCUCUCCUUUGUGUACCUCUCUAUAGCAAAUCCGAUGUCUCCGGUCACCAGUUUGCCGUGCUCGGCAAUGGAGUUCCCGAGGUGCCUACCCAAUGCCACCGCAUCCUCGAGAGCCGAACAUCCCCCCUGGCCCAAGUCAGGAGUCAUCGGGUGCAUAGCGUCUCCAGCCACCGUGACGCUUGAUCGGAAUAGAUUUCCGAAUAGGAUGUCCCAAGGAUAUCGGAACAUCAGGGGCGCCCAUGUCAAACUCGAAAGAUCGGAGUGCUUAAUGACAUCGAGGUACACAGGUGGGAAGUCCUUCGCCAAAUUUUCCAUCACCUCCCUUUGUAUCAUUUCUGGAUCUGCUCCUUUUUCCACACCUUUAUAAAUGGAAGCGUUAGGGAUCGAGGAGGAUUAGUAAGCUAGUAUUGAAGGAGCCAUCGUGGUUGGGAAUCUCAGCAGAAGAUAAAAU